UCCAGGAGAGGGUCAAGAAUCAUCAUGUGAAUUUUCAUCCAAUUUGGAGCUAGCAUGACUAUUUUGUGAUUAAAAUGGUAAAACACAUCAAAAUAGCACAUAUGAUGAACAUCCCUAUACCAAUUAAAUUUUCUACCAGGCACAAUUUUAAUUUCUAUGUCUAAAAAAAAGUAGAUUAAAAAUGGAGACUAACAAAAAAAGACUGAAAUUAUUUGGAUUAAUAUUGAUGAUUUUAUGAUUUUUAGAAGUUUUGAAGAUUUAUUGAAAUAAUUAUUUAGGAUUUUAUAUGAAUUAAUUAAUUAAUUUGGACGAAUGGCAAAACAGUAAUUACUGGAUCCCAGUCCAAAACGCGGCGCAUAACUAAACCGAGGUGGCAGCCUUCUAUUGGCUCCGGCGCGCGAAAACACAAAUCCAAAUUGAAAACGGACGGAAGCGGAUCAAAGCGCAUUUUUUCCCAGAAAUUCUUGAUGUUCAUCACUGUUCUUGAGUUCUUCAAUUCCAGAUUAGGUUUUGAGCAAAUCUUAAUGAAAAUAAACAAUCCAUACAUCGUUGGAACCGGCAUUCCAUCAGGAUCAUGAAUACGGUGGUGAUUUCGUCCAGAAAUUCAUAUAUAAAGCGAAUCGAACGAAAGAAAUAAUGGUACACAAACUUCAAUCGAAGAUAACGUAAUCGAUACACAACGAUAUUACAAUCCACAACUUCCAGAGUACUCUACAAUGAUUAUUCUACAGAAUCCCUAACAAAAUCGAAGCAAUUAUGAGAUUCGAUUCCAACCUUUCUUGGAGUGCAGCGAUAGAUUCCGUGCGUGAUUCGCUUGAAAAGGUUGAAACAGGUGCGUAUUGCAGUAUGGAGAAGAUGAUGGAAUGCGUAUUGUAGCUCGAAGCAGCUCCGAUUCUUGGAAAUCGUCAACUGUUCUUCCUUGAUGCAAGUUUGGACAGUAUGAAUUGUGAAGGAUUCUUGAUCCAAUACCUGCAAACAGCACUUCCAAAACAAGUAUAUAUGAUGAAUUCACCAAGAGUUAGCAUGAAACUUGAAGAAAAAUUGGUGAAAGAUUGAAAAAAUGUCAAUAUGCAAUGUGAAAAAAGUGAGAGAAAAUGGGAGAAUUUCUUGAGAUUUUCUGUUGGAUUUGUGAAAAUGUGAUUACUGUCCUCAUUUCUGUUAGAGAUUAAGUAUAUAUACCAAGCUCUUAAUCCACCAAUAAAUCAUGAUUAGUGAAAAAGUGGUGAUUAGUGAAAAUUGGCUUAUGAUGCAUUUGGCUCUUAUGCCCUUGGAAUGGUUAGAAGCAUUGUAGCAGCAAUUUCUCACUUUGAACAAGUUGCAAAUAUCAUUUGGAAGCUAAUGGCAUAGGUCUCAUGUCCAAAUUCCUCAUACUUUGCAUUUUGGACCAUUUUGCCCCUCACUUUUAAUUGGUUCACUUCAAAAAUGAGCUUUUGCAUUGAGCAAUUUUGAAGAAAUCCAAUUAUGCACCAUGAAAGUACAUGUCAAAUGGAGUUUGUGCAUAUAAAGAACUUGCAAUUUGGACAAUCCAUGUGGAAGUUAUGCCCUCCUGAUUACGGGUCUUUUUUGAAAUUCACUGGACCAUAUCUUGACAACCAUACAUGGGAUUUUCAAGUUCUUGGACUUUUUGGAAUGGUGAGAACAAGAUCUUCAACUUUCAUGUUGGACAAAUUUUGAUUUGAAGCUUGUAUCAUGAAGUAAUCUUGAGGGGAAAAACUUUCCAUUUUGGGCAGCUGAAAUUACAAGUCAUUUCCAUUUUGGGAAACUUUUUGUCUGACUUCAAAUCCUUCAACCUUGAUCUUUGAAAUGCCAAAUGAGGCUUGUAUGGACAUGAAUGAGGCUUUCCAAACCAUCUCACACCUUUCAAAUCCUGAUUAAAUGCACAGUUGACCACAAUUGACUUUUCUUGACUGGGCCAUGUUCUGAUGAAUUCCAAGCCUCUUUCACAUGAGAUCUUGGUUCCAAAUGAUAUCACAAGCUAUAUGAACUCUUAGUGAAUGAUCAUGGUGUCCAAAUUCUUCAAGAAUUGGCCACCAUCCAGCUCAAUGGCUGAUUUUGACUGAUUUGACUGAUGAUUGCUUCACUGCAAGCAACAAGGUUAGAUGACAAUAUUUUUGUACACUUGGUUAGUAAACAUAUGAAAAGCAAUGAUAUACAAGUUUAAUACAUGCUUUGUUGUGAGCAAGAAUCACACUCACAAGAUAACCCACCCACUAGGAGGGCAGCUAGGGUAUGCAAUGAUCCUUGAGGCCAUGAUAUGAGAUGUUAUGGGCCAUGAGGGAUCUUAGGGCCAAAAUUGGGGUCUUACACGUACCCACCCCGUCUCUUUCAAUUUCACGUCCAUCAGGAUUCCCAAUGACGGAAUCUGGACCUCGACUGGUAGCACGACUUCCGUCCCAUACACAGCGAGAAAGGCGUUGCCCUAGUAGAUGUACGCAUCGAGGUUCUGUACCCAGGAUACACUCUUCGCACUCAGCCACAUUGUUGGUGCAUUCAAAUGUUAGCCGGGCAGCAAAAGGAACGUGGGAUCCCUUCUGCGUAACCAAAACAACACCAAUUCCGUUUCCAUUCACGUCAAUAGCCCCAUCAGACAUCAGAAUCCGUUCGGAUUCAAGGCGGGCCCCCCCUCUGGGAUUGGUUCCUCACAAUCUUUCGAUUUGAGAACCUCGAUGUCCUCAUCAGGGAAUUCAAACUUCAUCGGUUGAUAAUCCUCAAUGGGUUGCUGGGCGAAGUACUCAGACAAUACACUCCCAUUGGUUGCUUUCUGAGAGGUAUACUGGAUAUCAUAUUCAGUCCAAAAUCAUUUGCCAUCUCGCAACCCGUCCGGUCAAUGCUGGCUUCUCAAUGCUGGCUUCUCGAAUACGUACUUGAUCGGAUCCAUCUUGGAAAUCCAUAAAGUGGUAUGAACCAGCAUAUACUGUCUCAGUCGGCGAGCAGCCUAUGCCAAAGUACAACAAGUUUUCUCGAGCAGUGAAUAUAUUGUUUCACAGUCGGUAAACUUUUUGCUAAGGUAAAUUGCAUGCUCUUUUCGACCAGACUCGUCAUGCUGCCCCAGUACACACCUCAUAGACCCCUCGAGGGCCGUUCAGUACAAGAUUAACGGUUGUCCCUCCACAGGCAUUAGAAUCAGAGGUUCCUGCAAAUAUUCUUUUAUUUUUCCAAAUGCCGCCUGGCAAUCAUCAUUCCACCUGACCGUUUGAUCUCUUUUUUUUUUGAAUAUGGGUUCACACGUGGCUGUUAGAUGAGAUAUGAACCGUGAGAUGCAGUUCAAUCUACCUAAGAGACCACGAACCUCUUUUUCUGUUCUCGGUUCAGGCAUUUCUUGUAUAACUUUUACUUUCGCUUUUUUUUUUAGCAGGAUCAACCUCGAUUCCUCUUUCGCUCACAAUGAGCCCCAGCAACUUACCGGACCGCACUCUGAAAGUGCACUUAUUUGCAUUCAACCUCAGUCCGAAUUGUCUCAACUAGUCAAAAAACUUGGCCAGAUAUACCAAAUGCCCCCUUCUGUUUGGGACUUUGCUAUCAUGUCAUCAACAUAGCAUUCAAUUUCAUGAUGAAUCAUAUCAUGAAACAAAGUCACCAUAGCUCUUUGAUACGUGGCACCGGUGUUCUUGAGACCACAUGGCAUCACCUCUGCUCUUGACACUCGCCUCCAAGGCGGCCCCAACCUUUACUUCCUUUCAGACCUCGUCGGUACCCAGAUUCACAAUCUCGACUCGCUCCUCGUGCGGUCGAAUCACCUUCUCCUCUUGAUUCAACAACUUGGCUAAUUCCUCCGGCAGUUCACAAUCUUCUUCGCCUUCAUCUUCGGCAUGAUAGCUCGGAUUGUAGAAAUCAUAUAGGGGUGUAACAGGAUUGUUAUCAAUGAGAUCCGGAGAAUACGAAAGUCGGAACGAAGCCAAUCAAAAGAAAGGAAAAAUGAAAAUAAACAUUGCCAUUUUUAUUUUUUAAACUGCAAAAAUAAAUGAAAAACAGGGAACACCCCUUUUAAUUGUGAAAAAACAUCCAUUUAUUAAUGAUGAAAAAUGUUGCAAAAUGAAACACAUGAGGUGGCCCUUACAAUGGACCAUUACGUUUCGGGCAAAACGUAUGGCUUUCAUGCAAACAGAAUUGAAAAACAGAAAUAUUACUCUUCAUGAUGAGUGACAGUCGUUUCGGGCAAAACGUAUGGCUUUCAUGCAAACAGAAUUGAAAAACAGAAAUAUUACUCUUCAUGAUGAGUGACAGUGAUGAUCUUUGAGGCCUUCCAGUUCUCUGGUACGCACGAUUUUAUCCAACGAUCGAGCUCGCAGUCACUGUCAAUCUCUUCACCCUUCGCACAGGCGUGAUCUGGAUCUAGCAUUCUGGCACUGGUGAACGUGAAUGGUUGACGACGUCCUCUGUUUUGCCCAGACGAGUCUUGGCCUUCCUGAUAACCAACCCCGAACCUAUCUGCUUUCACCGCAAUGUGUACCAUUCUUCCCCAGCGUUGGGCUUCUCCGCUUCUCACCACCUUCAUGGCCUGUUUGUAAGAAGAAAUGGACGGCUUUUUCUCUUUCUCAGCAACAACGACAUUCUCCACCUUGACGGUUUCAACUUCCUGACAUGGUGUUUCAUAUAUUUCAUCGUCCAUUUCCACCUCCAUCAUUCUCUGAACCGUUUCCCUCAUCACUGCACACCCGUUUGUAGCGACAGCCGCACAACAAUUAUCACAACCAGGGAAAACUCCACUAUUCAUCAGAUGUCUCUGGACCUCCGACAUUGGAGUUCUUAAUUGAUCCACAUUCGUCUCCUCCAUUUUUUUCUUGUCCUUUGACAUCACGUUCACCCCCAUAGGACCAUGCAUUGGCACGGGGUCAACAUUAACAUUCGGCGUCGGUGCGAAAUUGAUGGCUUUAGAAUCCACCAAAUCUUGGACGACAUGCUUAAAUAUGCAUUGGCACGGGGUCAACAUUAACAUUCGGCGUCGGUGCGAAAUUGAUGGCUUUAGAAUCCACCAAAUCUUGGACGACAUGCUUAAAAGCUCUACAACCCUCAAUGUGAUGUCCGGGUGCCCCAGAAUGGAACUCACACCUGACGUUCUCAUCGUAAUCUGCAGGCCUCUGACCUAGUCCUACCGGAACCAACAUCCUUGGUUGCACCAAUCCAAGAUCCUUCAACCUCCUAAAUAGAAAGGCAUAGGUCACGGGUGGCUUAUCAAACUGACGAUCUGUCUUCCCUUUUCUCACUUGGCACCCAGCUUUCUGUGCUCUCUGUUGAGGCGGCUGCUGUUGCUGUUGUACAGGUUGAUUACCAGCAGGAAUAUUCACUGCAGCAGCAUACGGGUGGUAACGAUCCCUACCGUGCCCCCUUUUGGCAUACACAUCACUUGAUUCAACCUCCUUCUUGUGCUGACCACUACCAGAGGGCUUCUUUACUCCAGACGACGGAGCAUUUCCCUGUAUUUUCUCCGUUAUCAGCCAUUUUUCAAUCCUUUCCACCCUCUCAGCAAUUGCUUUCUGCCCCAAGGCGAGCCCUUGCACGACAUCGAAUAACUCCUUCAUCAUCUCUUUCAAUUCGAGAAUGUCGGCGUUGGGUGGAUCCAUCAGCUUGGAUUUGUUGCGUCUGGUAGGGUAUCUGAGCGGAGGAAUGAUUCGGUGGGCGCUGUAAGACCCCAAUUUUUGCCCUAAGAUCCCUCAUGGCAUCAUGUCAUAUCAUUCAUUUGCCUCAAGGAUCAUUGUACAUCUUAGCUUGCCUCCUAGUGGGUAGGAUGUCUUGUGAGUGUGAUUCUUGAUCACCAACGCAUCGUAUUGUCAUUGGUAUGUCAUUGCUUUUCAUAUGUUUACUAACAAAAUAGUACAAAAAUAUUGUCAUCUAACAUGUUGCUUGCAGAUGAAGCAAACUAGGUCAAAGCAGUCAAAAUCACGCCAUUGAGCUAAUGGAUAGUGGCAUUCUUGAAGAAUGGGCACUAUGAUCAUGCACAAAGUUCAUAUAAGUGUGAUAUCAUUUUUGAUAAUAAGAUUCUCAAGUGGUUAGGCUUGGGAAUUCACAGAACAUGGUUCACGUCAAAACCCUAGACAAGUCAACUGUGUGUCGUACUGUGGUUCAAACUGUGGUCAUUUAUCAGGGAUUGGAAGGUGUAAGAUGGUUGGAAAGCCUCAUUCAUAAUCCUACAGAGCUCAUUUGACAUUUCAAAGAUCAAGGUUGAAGGAUGAGGUCAGGCAAAAAGUUUCCCAAAAUGGAAUGACCUGUAUUUCACCUGCCAAUAAUGGAAAGUUUUUUCUCCUCAAAUUACUCAUCAUACAGAGCUUCAAAUGGAAUUGUCGCAACAUGAAAGUUGAAGAUCUUGUCUCACCUUUCAAAAAGUCCAAGAACAUGCAAUUCCCAUGUGUGGUUGGCAAAUUAUGACCAAAUCAUUUUCAGAAAAUGCCUAAAUUCAAAGUGGCAUAACUUUCACAUGGAAUGGCCAAAUUGGAUGGUUCUUUGUUGAGCAAACCAUAUUUGAUGUGUACUAUCCAAAUCCAUCAUCACAUUUCACCAAAAACAUUCACAUAAAAAGGUCAUUUUUCAAGUGGACCAUUUAAAAAUUGGUGGGAAAAAAGGCCAAAUUUCAAAAUACAAGGAAUUUUCAUAUGGGACCAAUUCCAUUAGCUUCUAAAUGCAAUUUAUGGUUUGCUCAAAGUGGAAAAAUACUGUUACAUUGGUUCAAGUCAUCCAAGGGCAAAUUGGCCAAAGUGCAUUACAAGCUCAUUCACUAAUCAUCAAAAUUGUGCUAAUCAUGAUUAAAGGGAUGGAUUAAGAGCAUGUAUAAAAGCCUAAUUCUAACAGAAUUGAAGGGAUCAAUAACCAUUUUUCAGAUCAAAUCACAAAAAUUCUCAAAUUCUCUCACUUUUCUCCAUUUUCACAUAAACUCUUUUUCUUCAAUUCAUCAAGAAUUCACCAAUUUCUUUGCUAGUUCUUUGUUGAUUCAUCUCUUGCAGGUAAUUUGCAAGGUCUGUUGAAGCAAUUGGAGAAGAAAAACCAUGCCAAUUACCAACUGUUGCAUCAUCACUCUUCAAUGGCAGUUGCGAAUUUACAUUGAUUCAUGCACUCUUGAGCUGAACUUUCUUCACCAUACACCUUCUUGAGCAUUAUACCACAUCUGUUUCACUGAAUUGGAGCAGAAUUCGCGCGGAUUUCACACUGCACCACCAAGAAGGUUGGAAUACGAAACCUUUAAUUAUUGAAAUUGUUAGGUGGAUUCAAUAGAUCUUUGAACAUAGAACAUUCUGGUGUUUGAAUCAUGCAUUUUCAUGGAGUAAUCGUGUAGAUAUUUGGAAUCAAAGUUUGUGUGACAAAACUAUUCUUGAUUAGAUCUUUGUGUAUGUUAACUUCUGAACAUUUUCAUUGCCAUAUCCAUGAUCUACGUGGAGAGACGGAGAGAACGGUAUAUAGUUCGUGCGUUUUGGUGUAAAAAAGUUCUUCACGAAUUCUGGUGUUCAAGAACAAUGAAGAACAUGAUGAAGUUCUUCAAAUUUCUGGAAAAAUCCCGUGUUUGAUCCUGUAUUCCUUGGCCUCGCGUUUGAAUUCCGUUUCCCGCUCGAAAGAGCCAAUGGCGUGCUGCCAUGCAGUUUAAUGAAACUGCAUCGUUUUGGCUAUGGCGCUAGUAAUUACAAUUUUGCCAUGCGCUGAUUAAUUAAUUCAAUUAAUUCAUUUUUAAACCUAAAUAAUUAUUUCAAUUUCAAUCAAAACUUCAAAAAAUCAUAAUUAAUUCAUCCCUAAUCCAAAUUGAGUGAGGAUUUUUUUGAUGAUCUCCAAAUUUUGUCUAGUUUUUUUUAGGCAUAGUAAUUCAAGUUGUGCCUGGUAAUUUUUUGGACUUGUCUAAUGGUCUUUGACAUGUGUGCUAUAUAUGUAUGUUUCACCAUAUUGAUCAUAAAAUAAUCAUGCUUGCUCCAAAAUGAAUGAAAUUUCACAUGCUUGUUCUUGACUCUUGCCUGGUGAUUUUGAUGUAUAGUUUGUUAUUUUUGAGUUCCUGGUUAGAGAGAUAUGAUGUGAUCUUCAUGAGUGUGACAAUAUGUGUCACACUAUGCUAUGCUGUGUUCAUGAUUUAAUUUCCCAUGCUUUCACUAGGCCUAUGGCUCUGAUUUUUUGCAUGUGAUAUCAUAUGAAUGUCUAGUUUCACCAUGAAUUUUUGUAGGAAUUAUUGAUCCAUUUCCCAUUUGAUUCGGAUUUUUGAUUGCUGUCUAGCAUUUUUAGGGUUUUGCUUGAGUAGCAAACUUCCAUAUCUUGUGAAAUGCUCAUUUCUUACCAUAUGAAUGUGAAAUUUGGUGGAGAGUGUCUUAACAUGUUUAGCUUCACUUUGGCUUUGGUCCCAUUCAUUUCUCAUUUGUUCCCACUGUUUUACAAUUGAUUGAAGUUGACACUUGAUUUGUGACCUAGUUUAGGUUGAUUUUUGCAUGCCAUGACAUGUUGAAUUUAAUUUCCCUACUUCCUCUAGUCCAAAUGCCAUGAAAUUUGAUAUGUAGCUCAUUGAAUGUGUCCUGUUUAGACUGGAAUUUUUGUGGAAUUUAUUGAGCUGUUUUGGUAUUUGUUUGAUGGUAAUCAUUCUGUUUGCUCAUAUAUGGUUCACACUUGACUACUUUGACCUAAAUUGUGCAUGAAAUAAAUUUGGUGCAUUGUUUUGAUAUGAGACCAAUUGGUCCUUCUUCUUAAUUGAUAAAUCUUGGUUGUGAUCAUGUUUUACUUGCUGUUUUAAAAUUUUUCCAUCCUUUGGACCCUAGGCUUGUCCUAGUGGUCUUGUUACUUAUGUUUGAGCUUGCUUUUCAGGUUGUGGAACCAUUUGCUUUAAGGAGAUAAAUUCAAGUUGUUUUGAGUUGUUUCAUUUGAUGUUAUGAACUAACUUGGUUUAUUUUGUAGGAUGCUUGGCUCACUUGAGUUGAUUGUGCUUUGCACCUUGCAUUGUUUGAUUGUACAUUGUUUGUUAAUUCUUAUGUUGUUGUUUUGAUUUUGUGAUUGGGAUGCUGAUUAUAUUUGAUUGAUUUCAGGUACCCUUAGUUGCUCAGUUCUCUUGAGAACUUGCAUUGCUUUGCUUGUAUAUCAUUUGCAUUGAGGUAGACUCUCUUGUCUCCAUGUAGUCUGGAAGACCUGGCUUGUUGUUUAGCCAGGCAACUGUCUGAAGUCCUCCUUAAGAGGCAAUGUUUGUGAUUGUUUAAAUUUGUCCCCAAGCAGGUAAAGACCUCAUAUGAGGCAAUUGGUAGAAAAGAGAUAUGCAACCUAUCUCCUACUAUUCUGUGAGUCACUCACCUUGCUCACACUACUUGUGUUGAUGCAUAGUGAGUAAAAACCCAAGAUCUAUCGAGUCUAACUUGUGGAGAGAGUUCCAUCUUUCUGAACUCCCACACCUUCUGAUAUUCAAUGCUCUCCCUGACCAGGGAUAAGAGUGAUGAGGCACACCCCUCAUAUCCUUUCAUCUGCUUCACCUUAGCCCCUCAAUGGCAAGGUUAAGAGUGCCAUUCACCUAUUCCAGUUGACUUUUCGAGUCAAACCCUUUGAUUGAGCCUAAAUUGUGUGGUUAUAGUGUGUGCUACUUGAACUUGUUUGAUUGAUUAUUUGAUUCAUUUGAACAUGAUUGCUUACUUGCCAUUGCGCAUUCAUCAUUAUUGAUUGUUAAUUCUUGUAUGAUCAUUAUUGCAUACCCUUGUGGUUUGUUUGAAUUUACCCAUUGAGGACAAUUGUAAGACCAUGUUCUUUGGCCAUUGUUCCCAUGAUAUGGAAGGAUAGAGUGUAAGACCUCAUUGGUCACUCAUAUCUUCUUUGCUCUUGUUUGUUGUAUGAGAGGAUGCAAUUGUAAGUCCCUGUGAUGUGGCAUUUGUAUUCCUAUGACCAUACUUUGGAGGUUGGUAUAAGUCCAGAUAGAUUGGCAUCCGACAUCCAAAUUUUGUUUUAUUUUAGGAGGUUGGUGUAAACCCAGUUAAUUGGUAUCCGACAUCCGCUUUUGCUUUUAUGAGAUUGGUAUAAGACCAUUGAUGGCAUCCGGUAUCACCUUGCUUUUAUUUUGCUUACUUGCUUUGUUGCCUCAUUCCUAAGGACACCCUUGAAUCAUCUCCUAUAUGAUCUCAAGAGGUGAACUUCUAGGAAGUUUUACACUUCAUCCACACCCUUUUUGUUUAAAACCCCUUUUCACUUAUUGACUUUUCAAAUCUUGUAAAUGCAUGUUGUGCAAACAUUCUCAUCCUCCUUUUCAAAUUAGAAACUUGGACCCUAAGUCCUUGACUUUUCAAACUUCUUUUCAUAACACUUCUUUGAAUCAAUCUAACCAUACUCUGACCAUCCUUUUGUGAAUAAUCAUAAUCCAUUAAUCCAACUCAUUCAAUUGUUUUGUGGCUUUGUCCAUGCUUGUUAAGUUUUCAUACAUUAGCCAUAGGUUUGAUUUAUCCUAGUUGGUUGAUGUUAACCUCACCUAUUUGUCCUUAGUUGAUUGAAUUGUAAGUCUUCCUUGCUUAUUAUAGGGUUAACCCCUCACUAGCAAGUGGAAGCUUUUCUCACAUGGUGGACUUGUUGUUUCAUAGGGUUGAGUUUUCUCCCGUGGAUAACGUAAAGCCUUAGUGCUAUUGUUUUAAAAUGAACUCACAAAUGUUUGGAAAUUUUUUAGCCGAACUACGGCGUUUNNNNNNNNNNNNNNNNNNNNNNNNNNNNNNNNNNNNNNNNNNNNNNNNNNNNNNNNNNNNNNNNNNNNNNNNNNNNNNNNNNNNNNNNNNNNNNNNNNNNNNNNNNNNNNNNNNNNNNNNNNNNNNNNNNNNNNNNNNNNNNNNNNNNNNNNNNNNNNNNNNNNNNNNNNNNNNNNNNNNNNNNNNNNNNNNNNNNNNNNNNNNNNNNNNNNNNNNNNNNNNNNNNNNNNNNNNNNNNNNNNNNNNNNNNNNNNNNNNNNNNNNNNNNNNNNNNNNNNNNNNNNNNNNNNNNNNNNNNNNNNNNNNNNNNNNNNNNNNNNNNNNNNNNNNNNNNNNNNNNNNNNNNNNNNNNNNNNNNNNNNNNNNNNNNNNNNNNNNNNNNNNNNNNNNNNNNNNNNNNNNNNNNNNNNNNNNNNNNNNNNNNNNNNNNNNNNNNNNNNNNNNNNNNNNNNNNNNNNNNNNNNNNNNNNNNNNNNNNNNNNNNNNNNNNNNNNNNNNNNNNNNNNNNNNNNNNNNNNNNNNNNNNNNNNNNNNNNNNNNNNNNNNNNNNNNNNNNNNNNNNNNNNNNNNNNNNNNNNNNNNNNNNNNNNNNNNNNNNNNNNNNNNNNNNNNNNNNNNNNNNNNNNNNNNNNNNNNNNNNNNNNNNNNNNNNNNNNNNNNNNNNNNNNNNNNNNNNNNNNNNNNNNNNNNNNNNNNNNNNNNNNNNNNNNNNNNNNNNNNNNNNNNNNNNNNNNNNNNNNNNNNNNNNNNNNNNNNNNNNNNNNNNNNNNNNNNNNNNNNNNNNNNNNNNNNNNNNNNNNNNNNNNNNNNNNNNNNNNNNNNNNNNNNNNNNNNNNNNNNNNNNNNNNNNNNNNNNNNNNNNNNNNNNNNNNNNNNNNNNNNNNNNNNNNNNNNNNNNNNNNNNNNNNNNNNNNNNNNNNNNNNNNNNNNNNNNNNNNNNNNNNNNNNNNNNNNNNNNNNNNNNNNNNNNNNNNNNNNNNNNNNNNNNNNNNNNNNNNNNNNNNNNNNNNNNNNNNNNNNNNNNNNNNNNNNNNNNNNNNNNNNNNNNNNNNNNNNNNNNNNNNNNNNNNUUUUGGAAAUCUUUUAGCCGAACUACGGCGUUUUGAUCCUUACCUUUGAUGGAAGGUACGUAGGCAACGGGUUCAUCCGUUCGAACACAAAAAUAAUUAACUUGUACAUUCUUUUCUCAUCAUCCCAUUCAUGUUUGCACAAUAUGUCAUAAACAAAAAAACAUUUCUUAUACAACAAGUGUGAAAAGGGCUCCCUAGGAGUACCUAGGACGUGAUGGGUGCCUAACACCUUCCCAUUGCGUAAUUUACCCCUUACCCAGAUUCUCUGAUCUUUUAUUGGUUUUCUAUGUGUAAAACUUCUUAGGUUUUUGUUCGCUUUUUAACCAGUCCUUAGGAUAAAUAAAAGUGCGGUGGCGACUCGAAUUCAUUGUAUACUUUGCUUAUGGUUUAAUCAAUAGAUCAUAUAGCGACGAAUACACCGCUACAGGCGCGAGCAGUGAUUCUUCUGUCAACCAAACAGGUUAGAUAUUGGCACCUACAAAACAACAAACAGGUUAAUAUGACUCACACAUGAAUGCAAUGUCUAUCCGUACGAGGAACAUUCCGUCCUUUGACUCUGGCUUCAUCGAGACAGAUAAUAAUUCAACAAUAACAUUCGGACAUCAGCAUGUCUCUCAACCAGAAUCUCAAUAAAAAAUGUACCCUGAGUAUGGAUAGACAUGGGUUAGAUGCAGAUGAAUGCAAAAUGGGAAUGAUGCAGAUGCAUGAAUGCAAGUCAUUGUGCAUCUUCCAAGUCAUCUGAAGAUCCACUGUAUUGGAUUCUGGUCUCUGAACUGAUCAUAAUCAUCUGAAGGACCAAGUCACCAUAAAUCCAACUCAGGAGGUUCCGAAAUAAACGGAACUGGAGGUUAUAUCACCCUCAUCACAGGAAAUCCACUGAAUGAAUGACGACAAGAUCCUCUGAACAAGUACCCUUGGAUUCAACCCGGGGAUCCGAAAUAAACGGAACCCACUGAUAGAUACCACGGACAGCAUUCCGGCGUCUCAGAAAUAAAUGUCCAUAAGUCCAACUGAACCAAAGUCACCAUCAGUACCUGCAAAUGAUUCAAUCCCGCCCCACUCACGGGUGUCAUCUAGGCUAGGGUAAGGUCAAGAGAAACGCAGGAUAAACGAUCCUUUCAAGAAUAUCAUCAUAUGCACACCAGGUGUAUGCAACGAUAAUACCCCAUCAGAAUCUGAACUGCUCGUGAUAUCAUGUUCUGCUAAGUGGCGCCAUACCACCCGCUUCCCAUGAAUCACUCUAUUCCUAGGUGUCCUAGAGUUCACUCAUAGCCUGUGUAUUGGGCCUUUUACCUCUUGUGAUCCCCACCCAACAGAGAAACAGAUACACAGCCAGCACAAUGAUAAUAUGAUGCAUGCAAACAUAUAUGCAAGUAUAUACAAUCACAGCAUAAUAAACAGGAAUGCAAUAAAUAAAACAGUAAAAGCAACAAACACUAUCCUAAAGAGCGCUAGGAUUGACUCGCUUAGGGAAGAUGGACCAGCAAGAGGUCAACUUCUCUAGAAUCCCCAGCAGAGUCGCCAGCUGUCGCAUACGCGAAAAACAACCGGCGGGAAAAGACACAGAGCCGCCACCGUGCGUUAUUUAUCCCAAAGGAGGGAAAGGAAUCGCAUACGCGAAAAACAACCGGCGGGAAAAGACACAGAGCCGCCACCGUGCGUUAUUUAUCCCAAAGGAGGGAAAGGAAACGCUCGAAGUAAACUUGGAAAGGAAAUGGUCUUACGACCAGAGAUUGCUAGGAUCGGGAGUCGGUUACGCAAGGGGAAGGUAUUAGCACCCCCUCACGUCCAUCGUACUCGACAGGAUCCACGCUCAAAAGAAUAGAAUAAGGUUGCUAAAUAACUGCUCAAAGACUGCACAAACUGGAAUGAAACACAGAUGAAAGAAGACGGAGGAAGGGGACUCGGCAGGAUGUCGCAUCCUGGGCCUACGUAGUUUGUCAGGAACAAACAUCAGAGUCGACGUAGUUCGGGGGAACGUGAAACGUGCUCGCUAGGAUAUCGCAUCCCGUGCAUACGUAUCUUUUCUAACCAGAGUAAGAAUCAGAGCACUCGUAGCUCGGCUAACGCACGCCGAAACAAAACACUGAAAGAAGACGCUGAGACGUCAAAAGAAACCACACAAACGCAAAUAGGAAACGAAAUGCCAAUCGCUGGUCUUACAUCCAACUCCACAAAAGAAACAGGAAACAGAUAGCCAAUCAAUGGUCUUACAUCUGACUCCACAAACAAGCAAACGGGAAACCGAAUGCCAAUCGUUGGGCUUACAUCAGACUCCAAACAAACACAACAAACGGGAAACCGAAUGCCAAUAGAUGGACUUACAUCAUACUCCAAACACACACACAAAGCAGAAGGGUUGGAAAAGAAAAAGGGUCUCGAUUGCAACUAGGGCAAGAGAAAGGGAAGGUCUCAAUCGCAACGAGGGCGAGAGAAAAGAAUCGCAACGAGGGCGAAAACUAGCAAGAAUUAAAUGUUAGUCGUCAAUCAAACUCGACAAGACAUCGCAUCUUGUGCCUACGUAUCUCAUCUGGACAUGAGAAUCAGAGUUGCCGUAGUUCGGCUAAACUAUUUCUAUUUGUUUUGUGUUUUUUAGGUGAACAACGUCACUACGCAAUCUACCGGAUGCUCGACCUUGGGAGACUUACUCACCUGUAGUAGAAGGAGUUAACGUGUCCUUAAGAGAAGGUAAAGUUUGUUUGUGUUUUAGGAAUGCUCACGCAAGAAAGGAAGUCCUAGACGAAGGAACCGUGCUACCUUAAUUGACAUGCAAACGAGAGACUAUACGAAGUCUAGCAAUCCUAUGGGGAUACAAAAACAAGUCUCAAAAGAGAACAAAAACCGGAAAUGGAAUGCCAAUCAAUGGGCUUACAUCCAACUCCAAAGCAAAACGGGAAACAGAUAGCCAAUCACUGGUCUUAUAUCUAACUCCAAAAACAAACGGGAAACAGAAAGCCAAUCGCUGGUCUUACAUCUAACUCCACAAAACAGGAAACAGAUAGCCAAUCGCUGGUCUUACAUCUGACUCCUCAAACAAACGAUCAAACAAGCAAUCAAGCAACACACGCUAUAUGCAAACAAGAGGCUCAAACAAGGCUGGGCUUUAGUCAAGGGGUUAUAUCAACCUCGACAAACAAGCCAACACUGGAAGGGUAUCUGAGGGCUCUUAACCACUGACAUUGACCGUCAGGGUGAGCAGAUUAAAGGUAAUGAGGAUAAGACCUCAUAGCUCUUAACCCGGGCCUGGGUGAGCUUGAAUCAAUGAAAACGUGGGGAUCCAGAAUGAGGGACCCUACUCCACUUGACUGACUCUAUAUACAAGAUCUUGGGUGUUUAUUCAAAAGCAUCAGCACGUAGUGCGAGCAUAAUGAAAGACUCAACUGAAUAGCAGGGGAUUGAUUGCUAAUCCCUUCUAUCUGCCAAUUGCCUCUUCACUUAGGAGGACUUGAAGUACAUGGCACAAAUAUAAACAAUCACAGUCAUUGCCUCUUAAGGAGGACUUCAGCCAAAUGCCUGCCAAAAGAAACGACAUGGCUUCCAGACUACAUGGAGUUAGAGGAUGAUUACCUAGGUGGUAUGCCAACCACAAGCAAAGCAAAGCUCAAUCAAUGAGCUAAAAGCGACUAAUGUACCUGUGAGAAAGUCAAACAAGUCAAUAUUCACAUUCAGACAAAUCCAACAGAUAGUCAACAGUGUUACAACCAAUAUGUUCACAAUGCAAGUCAACAACUCAAGUGAGUUCAACACCAAGGUACCUCCAACACAACAAAGGUAGUGGACAAAGCAAAUUUGCAUCUCAAGUCAUAAGAUCAACAUCAACCAUUAGGACUAGAAGCUUGAACCUGAAAUGCAAAGCUCAAAAGGUGAGUACAAACCACUAGUGCAAAGACUAGGGUCAAAGGCAAAUCAAAAAAUCAAAACAGCAGCCAAUAUUUAGCAUGAAGCACAUUUAUUCAAGUAAGAACAUGUCCUAAAAAGGACCAGACUCAAAUCCUAAAGCAAAUCCAUCUAAUGAUCAUGCUAAGGCAAAGGCAGACAAUGGUGUUCACAAUUGGAUAUCAAGAAGAGAAAUUCCACAUUAAAUCAGAAACACAUCCCAUGAUCAUGAAAAUUUAUAUACAAGCUCAACAUGUUAAACACAAGCAGCACGCAAAAAAUUAAAAUCAGAAGAGCUUAACUGGCAUGUCAAUGAAAAUGAACAAGAUCAACAUCAAAAUGUGUGACACACAUUGUCACACCAUACAUUCAUGUGUCCAAAACAGAAAUGAAAAAUGCUAAAAAUGCCAAACAAAAGCUCACAAAUCAGGCAACAUGUUAGGACAAAGCAUAUUAAAUUUCAUGGCAAUUGGAUCAAGUAUGAGCAUUCCACAAUUAAUUGAAUGAAGCAUGGUAGAUUUGCAUACAUGUUCAAACACCAGUUCACAUUCAAAAAUCCAGAAAUGAUAAAAUCAGGAAAUGGACAUCAUAAAAUACUAGACAUUAAGAUGAACAUGUGAGAAAAAAUUUGGAUUUAAUUGGAUUCAUUUUCUAUUUUUUAUGAUUUUUACAAAUUGCAUGAAAAUAAUGAAAUAAAUGGAAAACAUGUGGAAAAUGUUAUUGAAUGGGAAUUGGAAAAAUGCUACAUGAAGGAAUCGAACCAUGUAUGCAGUCAAAAAUAGAGGCGCUCAGGAAAAAUUAAUUGGAAUUGUCCACGCCUAGAAUCGAACCCAGGGCAUAUCAAAACACCGCGUUUGGACUAAUGAAGGAAAUCAAGUGGAAAAAUAAAAAGGCAUUCGCUGGGAAUCGAAUUGGAGACGGGAAGGUUGCAAGGCGCUACAGUAAAGCGUUGCGUUUCACUUAUUGAAGUGGUGCACACGUGAGCGGUCAAAGGACACGCAGGCCAGUCAAAAGAAGCCUGGCCAAUGGAAGCGCCAAGCAGGCGCAUGCGUGGACGACAACUAGGCAAAGCCCUAGGACAGUUGCAGACGGCGGAGCAACCGUCUUCUCCGGCGAGACAGGCGGAGCUCCGCCAUGAAAAUUACCAGAACUCAACAAAUUUUACACCAUUCGAAUGGUCCUUCCAAGCACAUUCCAAAUCCAUGAUUAAUACAUCCUAAUUCGUGCUAUAUUUCAUGAAUCGAGCAAAAACAUUAUGAUGUGCAAAAACUUUGAAUCAACAUAACUUCACCAAUAUCCAUCCAUUUUCAAUAAAAUUUAUAUCAGAAUUCUCAGUGUUCAAAGACCUACAAGAUCAUGGCAAUAGAAUUAAGAAUAGUGAGAUUCGAUUUCUAACCUCUUGAAGAACAAAAUGAUGAUUCAAUGGAUUUGAGGCCUCAAAAGUAUCCAAAUCUUCUCAUCCACUUGUGUACUGAAGCUUUAUGCAUGAUUUGAUGCUGGAAAUGGCUUGUACGCAGCUUAAUCUUCAAGUUCCAUGUUCAUCUUCAUGAGCUCAACUUGCUUGAUUCUUGGCCAAAAUCUUCAAAUCAAUGCUUGAUCCUUCAUUCAACAGCUUAGUCUUGCUCAAUAUCCAAAGAAUAUGCAAGGAUUUGAUGUGUUUAUGUGCAAAAUUUGAAAGGUUUCAAUUGAGAAGAAAAUUGGAGGGAGAAAUUUUCUAGAUAUCUCAUCUAGAAUUGUGGUUAACGAAUAGAGAAAUUCUGUUAUGAAUUAAAGGGCUUUAAUACAAAAAUAAAUCUAUUGUGUUAUUCAUGCUGACAAUGUAUUUAGUAGACAUAUGUGUUAUUAAGGAUUAGAUUUGCACAAUAUGAAGAGUGCAUAUUUGGCAAAUUGUAAAACAUCCAUAUGCUAUGGCAAAGGCAAAAUGACACGUGACAGUGUUAUGUGGAAGGUGUAGAAUACCACUUAAAUAUAAUACAAGUUCACAUGGAACAAAUGGAGCAUUGGAAUUAUUUUAUUCAUGGUCUAGAUGCAGUGAAUAGAGCACUAAACAAAACGCAUUAUAAAUUCAUAUCAUUUUGUCCAUCCGAAAAAUAGACAUGAUGCAUGGAACAAAAAAUGAUAUCAAAUGGUGAUUAAUUACAUGUUUCAAUGGCAAAAUUGAUAAAUUGUUGGAGAAAUAGUAUGGUGACUAGGAAACAUGCAUUUGCAAAAAUAAGAGUGAUGGCCUAAAAUUUGAGAGGUUUAAAUAUAAUCAAAAGUUUAUGCAAUUUGAAGGAAGUUUCAUCAACGAUUUGGUGUAAUAAAACACUUGCCCUCAUAAUUGAAUUUGUGUAUACCUGUCACCAUGCUCAUACUUCAGCGAACCAUUCAUACAGAAUGCAUCAUAAUGGACAAAAGAUUGGAAAGCGUUUUUGGAAAAUAGGGCAGAGAAAAUAUUUGCUUCAAACUUGUUCAUGUUGAAGCAAACAAAGUAUUGAUCGGCAAAUUUCAUGUAUUUGAAAAGGCUUUUUGAUGUUGGAAGAAGUCAAGUUGAAUGUGGUGCCAGAAAACUGCCGAUGUUUUAGGAAAACAUACUUGAAAUUACAGGUCACUUUCCAUUUUUGGAAACUUUUGAUCUGGCUUCAAAUCCUUCAAGAUAAGUGUUUGACAUGAUGAAUAGGCCUCUUUUGGACAUGAAUGAAGUGUCUCAAACCAUUUCUCCACCUCCUAGCCCUCAGUUGACUUUCAGUUCACUUUUAUGGGCCCCAGAUGACUUGAAAAUGCACUGAUGAUUUUCUUGAUGCCAAUGCUGAAUGCAAUGAUACAAUGCAAGAUGGAAUGAUAAAUGACCUAAAAAAUGAAAUGAAUGCAUGAAUGGGGGGUGCAAAUUUGAGGUGCUAUAGUCCCAUAAAAGAAAUUAGAGAUUUUAAGAAGCACAUAAGCAAAACAUAACACUAAGAGAGCUUGGAAACAUCUCAAUGAAUUAAACCAAGUGAAAUAUUACAAGAUAUCACUAAAAACUUGAUUACUUCGAAUGCAAGUCAAUCACAAGACAACUAAAGUUGCUUUAAACAUAGCGAUUUAAAAACAUUUACAUAGAUAUUCAUUUAAGACAUAAUUGACUUUGUGAUUAUCCAAUAAGAUUGAUGUAUCACAUACCUAAGCUUACAUAUUAAGUCUCUAUAAGCACGGUCUAAUCUCAAUGAUGUACAAAUGAUGCAAUAAUACACUAAUGUGAUGGCGAUAUUAAUGAAUGCUAUAAAAUUAAAGGAGGUAUGAGAAUAAGGAAAAGAUACACAGAGAUGUAUAGUUGUUCGACGUCCUUCCUCACUUUGCCAACUCCACUCUCUAAUGGUGUUAAAGAACCAUCAAGAAAUAAUCAAGAUCUUCCACUAUUUUGAUAAGUUUGAUACAAGCAUUUUGAUUACAAUGAACUAUCACACGAUAAUUUCCUCUGUUGAUGCAGACACUCAAAUUGCAAAUUGGAUACGUGAACAAACAUAAAUAGAAUAUCAAUAAUAGUAAAAAAAAUUAGACAUGUUCAUGGAAGUAGUAAUAGCAAUGGAAUAUAGAUUGAUAAUUAAAAUGGUAUGACAAGAUUAAUAGCAUAUAAAUUUGACAAUUAAAAUAACAACUAAGCAAGAUUAAAGGUAAUUUAGUAAAAAUGACAUGUAAAAGCUUCAAACAAUAACAAUGGCAGUAAUAAAUGAUUGAAAGAGAAAGUAAAUUAAAUCUGAAAAUUAAACUGCAAUUUUCUCCAAACGGAGUCUUCAACUCGGUACAUGAAAUAAAACUUUGCUGCAACUUAAAUGAUGGAAUAUAAACUUGCUUCAAAAUAAACACCAAGUUUAACACUAAUUUUUGCAACAAUCCCUUGAUGUGAGAAAUUGAAGUUUUUAAGAACUAAUAUUUGUGCCUAACAAUGCUUGGAUGAUGAAAAACUGAAAACUCGGCCUAUUUAUAGAGCUAAAACUGGUAGAAAACAUCUAGAGUUCGUGUUGGAGGAGUGGAGGAAAUAUAUAUUGAAGUGGGGAGAAACUGAAUCUUCAUGUUGCUAUUUUUCAGGAGGACGUCAUAUGGAGGACAUGGGUUUUAAGUCCAUGGCGAACGCCAUGACCUCAUGGAAAACUACAUGAAUUCAAAAACCUUUCUCUUUGACUUUUCUUGCUUGUUAGGUGGCGCCCAUGGCUACCACGUCACGACAAGCGCCAUGGUGAACGCCAUGAGUACAAAUCUUGGUUUUUUCUCUGUUUUUCGUCAUUUUCGUCCUGAUUUCUGCAUGGAUGCUCCUACCUAGAAAAUACUUGAAACAAACACAAUAUACCAGCAUAACACAAUAAAAAAGAGACAAAAUAAGCUAAAAUGUCACGUGAAUUGAUUUGGAAAUGCGAUGUGUUUUGUGAUUAUAAAACUCCCCCAUACUUGAACCUUUGCUUAUCCUCAAGCAAGCUGCUAGCAUAUAUGAAAAUUGUGUAAAUGCAAGAAUUUAGUAUAAAUACUUAAAGAAUCCAUAGCAUUCAAAAUCCGUUUCGGCCAAAAUUGAUUUGAUAGGUUUUAACAAUACACUAAGGAUAUCAUGAAAACACAAUUCCGCAUUUCGCGGUCAAAAGUCUCCCUCCUAUGAAAACCAAUACGAAUCAUGCCAUUAUGCCUAAACCUAAAUCACUCAUCCUCUUUUUCAUCCCUUUUCAUUCUAGCGCAAUCACAUUAAGCUUGUUACCCUAUCACGCACAUAGUAGGCAAAUUUGUUAUUGAUUAUGAUCUAGUUUUAUUAAUUUGUGCACUUUGGCUUUAAUCAUUAAUUAAUAGAAGGAUAAGGAUAAAUGACUAGGUGAGAGUCGUCUAACUAAGAAGGAACAUUCCUAUUUUAUUCAUUUUUUAAGCCCGUGAUCAUUCACUUAUUUGCAUCAACUUCCCUACGUAAUGUGUGUUUUAAGAUGUUGUUGACUGCUUAGAUAAACUACUCAAGGAUUAUUAGAAGGCAAUAACUUAAGGCUAUGGCAUAAUAUGUAUUCAAAAUGAUCUCCAUAUUUGGGAUGCUUGAGGUGUUGGGACGAUAACGAUUUUGCAACAAUUUUCCUAAGUCUCCUCAACCUAGCCUCUCUUUCGUUUGUAGCAUAUAUACUUUCUAAUCGUGCUACCAAUUUCAAGUCUUUUCAAGUAGAUUUUUUUGGGUAGGACUUAAGAAAUUUGGAGAUUCAAUAAACAACAAGAAAUCACGCAUAAAUGACUUGACAACACAUGCAAAGACUUAAAACAUACACUACGUUAUGACAUAAAAAAACAACCAAUGACAUAAAACUAACAUAAUAGCAAAAAUUCGGAAAAACAGAAAGUAAAUAAAAGCGCUAAACGCCUACCCUACACUUAAAUCCUACAUUAUCCUCAAUGUAAGGAAGUAAGUGCAAGAGAGGUAGAAAAUACCUGGUGUUUUAAGAUCAAGUGCAAGAGAGAAGAAAAGUGAUGCACUACAUGCCUUUAAGUUGUUCAAGAACUAUGUCACAAUUCAGUUCAAUUAAAAAAUCAAGGCCAUACAAUAAGAUUUUGGUGUAGAAUUUAGACCGUUCACAAAGUUCCUCAAUGAACUAGGUAUCAUCCACAAAAUCACAUACCCUCAUACAUCACACUAAAAUGGAACAGUAGAAAGAAAACACAGACAAAUUGUUGAAAUGGGAUUGACUCUCUUGGCUUAUGCAUCCUUACCUUUAGACCUACAGGGACAUAACUUCACCACUACAGUAUAUCUUAUCAUUUAUCUACCUACAUUAGAUCAUUCAAGUUAUUCAUUUCAAAGUUUUUGGAUGCUCAUGCUAUACACACUUGAGGCCCUAUAACCAACACAAGUUGUACUUUAGAAGCACCUAGUGUGUUUAUUUAGGAAUUUCUCAUAAAGACAAGAGCCACAAAUGCAUGAAAAAAUAUGGUAAAAUUUUUAUCCCAAAGGAUGUCAAGUUUAAUGAAGUAAAAUUUCCCUACUUGAGCCUACAAACUCAACUAGUCACAAAUAUAUCAUAGUCUCACAAAUCAACUCUGACUAGUCUCAGUCCUUCAUCCCAUGUACCAUGUAUCAAUCCCUCCUCCCAUGUAUCAAGUCCCACAUUACAACCUAUAUUCAAAUGCUCCACCUGAAUCUAGUAACAUAGAAAUGAGCCCUCAAUCUAACUCUGGACCACCACAACAGGUCUAACCUAUUCCUACCAACUCAUGCUCAUUAAUGCCUAGUAGUUCUAACCAUGAUAUAGUUGUGUCCACUGGUAACUCUGUUAAGUCAGUUGUACCUUAUCACUCUAAACUCCAAGACAUGAAUCUCAAUCAGUCAACUUCAAGUUUUUCACUUGUGCAACAUCAAUUCAGGUCUGAUGCUAACUUGACCAAUAAGUCACCUUAGGAUACAAACUCAUUUGUUUCUAAAUAUGUUUCACAAACCACAAAGUCUUUGUCUCCUUCUAUUCACAUUCAAACCAACACCUCCACCUCAACCUGUCAACAACCAUUCCAUGCUUACUAGGGCCAAAAAUGGUCACUCAAAGCCCAAAGUGUUUCUAGUACAUUAAGAACCAACAAUAAUCAAACUGGCACUAGCUAGUUCUUAGUGGCUUUAUGCUAUGCAAACUGAGUUCAAUUCACUGCUCAAUAAUGGUACCCGGGUCCUAAAUACUCUUCUAACUCACAGGAAAGCCAUAGGUUACAAGUGGGUUUACAAAGUCAAGGAAAAUCCUGGUGGCUCUAUAAAUAAACAAAAAUCAAGGCUUGUGGAAAAUGGAUUUCAUUAACAAGGGGUUUAACUUCUAUGAAACUUUUUCACCAAUGGUUAAGCCAACUACCAUAAAGGUCAUACUCUCACUAGCACUCACCUUCAAGUGGAAAUUCAACAAAUAGAUGUUAAAAAUGCCUUCUUAAAUGCAAUAACCACCAAGGUUUGUGACUAGUGACACCACUCUUGUAUGAAAACUACAAAAGGCUAUAUAUGGACUCAAAAAAGCCCGUGUGGCUUGGUAUGAGAAUCUACAUCAAGCAUUACUUCAAUAUGUCUUUACCUCAAGCAAAUGCGACGACUCACUUUUCAUCUACCAACACCAAAAUGUUACACUUUAUGCCUUGGUGUAUGCAAAUGAUAUCUUGAUUACAGGUACCUCAUCAUCACUAAUCCAUGAUCUCAUAUAAGUUUUCUCUCAGGAAACUUGGGAAGCCACAAUAUUUCAUAGGAAUUAAGGUUAAUGAGAAGCACGAUGAGGUAAUACUUCUCACACAAUACGAGUACAUAAAAGAUCUAGUGGCCAAAGUAAACAUGGUAGGAGCUAAUGGAGUGAAUACACCAAUGUUCAGCUCAUGCAAACUCAGUAAGUAUGUCACCGAUGUUCUAUCCAAUCCCACCAACUCCAUGUCCAUAGUUUGUGCACUUCAGUAUGUUACAUUAACAAGACCAGGCAUUGCCUUCAGUGUCAACAAGGCUUAUGAUCAAUUUAUGGUACAACCACUAGAGACACAUCAGAGUGUAGUCAAAUGUGUCCUCCAGUAUCUUAGUGGAACUGCAGAUCAUGGCUUACUCCUCAGUCCUUCAAACUCAGUGCAACCAUUAUUCCUCAAAGCCUAUAGCGAUUUUGAUUAGGCAAGUGACCAUGAUGACAGGCGCUCCACAUUUGGCUCGUGUGUUUAUCUUGGCUCCGAUCUUAUAUCGUGGAGUUCCAAGAAAUAAUCAUUGGUUGCACGAUCUAGCGCAAAAGCAGAAUAUAAAGCUCUUGCACAUACGAAAAUGAGUUGUUAUGGAUUGAAUCAUUCCUUGAAGAAUUGGAUAUCAAGCUGGAAACAUUAACGCUGCUUUAUGACAACGUUAGUGCAAUCAUGGUCGCUCACAAUCUGAUUCUCCAUGCAAUAACUAAACACAUUGAGCUUGACUUUCAGUUUGUACGUUAAAGGGUAUUCUCUAACAAGCUUGCCAUUCAACAUAUUAUUGGUACAUUACAAGUUGUAGAUGUGCUCACCAAACUCUUGUUUCAUACAAUUUUUCAUGACUUCAAAUCCAAGCUUAAAGUUGUUUCCUUGAUCCAACUAUGAACUUGUGAGAGGAUAUUAGAUUAAUAUAUAGAAGUAUGUAAAAGUUAGCUAAAAGGUUAGUCGCACGAUCUAGGAAAGUUAGUUAUCUAAACACUAACUAUCUUUCAAAUUCUCCAACUAACUUAAGUGUAUAUAUAUCAAGCUUCACUCAAUAUAAAUGUAAUGAACAAUGCCACCAAGAUCACAUACAAAGUUUUCCAUACUACUCUCUCUUAAUCUUCAUAAUCAGCUGUUCAUUCUCAUUAAUAUGAAAGUUAGAUGUUAAAACAAUAUAAAAUGAAUCAUUUGUAAUAUUUGAAGACCCAAAUUUUAAAUUUAUGAUUAUUUUUAGAAAAAUCAUUGAAAGCAAUAUUUUUUUUAAAGAUAUUAUACUCUCUCUUAAUCUUCAUAAUCAAUAGAGUACUAUUUUAGAUAUUAUAUCUUUUAUUAAAUUUGUUUUGUUAAAAUGAUUUAAAAAUAAAUUAUCAAAGAUUUGUAUUUAGUGAAUAAAACACAGCUGGAAGCAACAAAACCCCUAUAUAAGCCGCAACAAGUUGCAACUAAACCCUAAACUUUAGAUUUCAAACAUAUCAACACCUUUUUCCCAUUGAUCAAUGGAAGACAAUCAUGAUCAAACAUCCCACACCCUUCCCUCUUGCCAACACGAUUUCCCAAACUCAGCAACCAUGUGCGAUAUAUGCAUGCAAUCAAAAACCGAUAUCACAUUAGGGUUACCCAACAAAAUCAAACUAGUACGUUGCCCCCAAUGCAAUUUCUACUUACACCUCCCUAAAAUAUGGGUCAAACUAUCAUCACAAUCAACAUUUCUUCUAUCAUUUUGCUUUAAUAAGUUUAAAACCAACUUCCAUUCCAACAACGUGAAGUUGCUCCGUGCUGAAACCAUUCCAUCUGAAUCCAAUUCAAAUAUCAUCAAAACUAGGGUUUAUGUUCAGAAAGAGGUUAUCAAUGGAGAAAUUCUUCAACAAUCUUAUCUUGUUGAGUUUCUUCAUGACAACCGAAUAUGUGAACCAUGUAGUAGGGUUCAGGCUAAUCCUAGUCAAUCGGUUUAUGCUGUGCAAUUAAGGAAACAUCGUUCUCAUGCGCGUAGUUUUUUGUAUUUGGAACAUAUUAUUUUGAAGCAUGGUGUUGCUGCUAAUGCUGUGAGAAUCAAUAAGAUGAAACACGGUACUGAUUUCGAUUUCGCUGAUGAAGUUUGUGCUAAGAAGUUAGUUGAUUUCAUCAAGGGACUAAAUCCUGUGAAGAUUUGUGAGAGUAAGAGACUUGUUUCUCAUGAUAGGAAGAGUAGUUAUUACUGUCUUGAGUACACUUUUUUCGUUCAAGUUUGUUCCAUUUGUUCUGAGGAUUUGAUUUUUCUGCCUCCUUAUGUUGCUUGCCAUUUGGGAAAUAUCGGUCCCAUUGUGAUUUGUACCGAAGUUACCAACAUUGUUACUUUGUUUGAUCCGUUAACCUCGAAGCAGUGUUUGUUAGAUGAUAAUAUCUAUUGGAGGCAACCCUUCAAAUCUUUGCUCACUAGGAAAGAUUUAGUGGAAUAUGUUGUACUCAAUAUCCAUAAGGUUUUUAUCGAGGUUACUGUUAAUGGUAAGAAAUUCGGUUUAGCUAUUGCCGAGGUUGCUCGUGUGAAAGAUUUGGGAAAGAAUGAGACGAGAUUUAAUAUCAAGACUCAUCUAGGUCAUCUUUUGAAAAAUGGUGACCGUGCUCUUGGUUAUGACUUGUGCGGGGCUAAGUGUAGUGAUAGUGAUAUUGGAUUGAAGGAGCACAUAGGAGGUGGUGUGAUUUUAAUCAAGAAGAGAUCUGAAGAGAAAGUUUGCCAGAAGAGACGUGCAGAGCGUCAGUCGCACUUAAAAGAUUUAGAAAAAAUCACUAAUGAGGUGUUCGGCAUGUCAUUAGGCAGUGAAGAACCAACUUUGGAAGAGAAGCUGGGUGAUCUUGAUCUGUGUGGCGAGGAAUAUAAGGAGAAGAAGAAGGCGAGGAGGACGGCAUGAUCGAAUAAACAAAAGUAAUUUCUAUCCUGAUAAAGAAAUUUGCAUUUUUCUCUCGAAACUUUCAGCAUUUUAUGCAUUCUCAGCAUUUUACCGGAUCCUUUCAUAUACUUUCUUCUAUGCGGUAGAAAUCUUUAAAUUGCAGUUUAACAUGUAAGAAUCUAAUUGCAUUGGUUUGAUUUGUCUUUUAUGUAAUCUUUUAGAAUUCUGAAAUAGUUUUAUCAAGCAUUAUAUGUGCAAAGAUUUAUACCAAUACUGUUGUUUGUUGGUGCUCUUUCUCUUCUAGUACAUGUUGUUUUUGGCCUAAAGUAGCUCCUCUAGUUAGAGAAAGUUGAAGAAGUCACUAGUGUUGGAUUUGGAUUUUCUGUGAUGUUUAUGAACUGAAACAUAGACUCCAUUUAAGUUUUUGUGUUUUAGGUUCCAUCACUCUUCAUACUGAUUAAAAGUUUGGGAAAUUUGCUUUACAGUGAAAACUAGAAAUUUGUUAGUAUUAGAAGCUACUUAACUGUUACAUUCAUGUAGUGUCUUUAUGUUACUACAGUUGUAAUUUGCCAGUGAAAUGGAUUUGUCACUUUUACACGUAACUGUAGACAUCAUGGUUACGUUUUCUGUGUUUUAUACGAUUUGUAGGAUUGAGAAGUCAAAUGCAAAUUUUUUGGGACACUAAAAUAAAUUUGACUUAUAGUAAACGUACAAUUAUUUAUUGACAAAAAUCCGAAUGAGUUUUAUGAAAUAAAAUAAAAAAUAAUAAUAACACUGAUAAUAAUAUAAAAUUAAAUUAAAUUUUAAUUUUAGUGCUGAUUAUUGAUUGUCUCUAGGUAAAACAGUUGUUUGUUUGGGUAUAUAAUAUUUUGCGAGUAUUGAGAUUAAGGUUGUAAAUGAGUCAAAUUUAGUUAAGUUUUGUUUAAUCCGAUUCAAUAAGAAUUGAAUCAACUGAAAACUUAGUUUGAGUUAGUUAAUCUUUUUUUAAAAUUUAAACUCAAUUUGAUUAAAAUUUACGAAUAAUUCAAUUUGGCUAAUUAGUUCAAACGUGACCGAUUCAAUAGUUCAAAUAAAAUAGAAUAACAAGUUAAUUAUUAAUUUAAAAACGUUAAAAUUUUAACUAAGACCUAUAUUUUAUGAGUAGAUACACUGAUAGUGUAAAAUAAUUUUACACCAUCAGUUAAUUAUAGACGUCGAAUAUUAAAAAAAAGUUUGACUUUUAUUUUAAAAAUCUAUAAAGUAAUAUAAAUGGAUGAUGGUGAUGAAUCGACGGUAUAAAACUUUUUACACUGACAGUGUAUAGUAAUUAAUCUCUAAAAAAUUAAAAAAAAAUGUUUUAGACAAUUAUCGUUAGUUAAAGGGUUAAAAACUCUCCAUUAAUGAUCUCCUGUUCUUUUAGGUCUCAUUGUGCCAAGUCAUUUUAAAAUAAUUCAAUUGAGUUUGAUGCAACUUUGGAAAAACUCAUAUGGGACCCACAAUAAUUUAACAAAUAAACUAUCAAAUAAAAAUAAUAAUUUAAUAAGGACACAAAUUAACAUUACCCAUAUUAUUUAAUGAUAAAGUAUUAUAAGACAACGUUGCAUUGCAUUGUUGCAACUCCAAUCAACAGGAAACUGUAUGGUUCGUUUGCCACGCUGAAGCACUGCAUGAAAAAUCCACCGCUGGAGCUGCCCUAAAUGAUAAAUUAUGGUAAGUUAGUAAAUCUUUUAGAUAAGAGAAAGAAGAUAAUUGAUAUGGGUGUCUCAGACUCACGAAUCCACUUAUAUAAAUUGAAUAAAUUUACAAGAAUUGUUUAAUGCAUUUUAAGGAUGGCUUUCUCAAUUUACUAGAGACAAAUGAUGUGUCUAGAGACGCAUUUCCGAAAUUAUAAGGGUAUUUUUUUAUAGGGUGUUUUUCCACGUCUUAAGGUGGAAUUAGCAAUUCCUUUUACUAAUUAUUUGAAGUCAUUUAUUUAUGAUUAUAUUUGAUCAAACUUGCAUAAUUUUAGUUUGGAUAUUGCAUUAGUGUUUCUCAACCUGUGAAUCUGUUGACCAUACUAGUUGAUUUGAAAUUAGUGAUUUAUUAUUAGUUUAAAUAAAAAAAGAAAACUAGUAUAUGCCUAAAAACUAUUUUUUUAAUCCUAAUUGCUCACUCACCACCAAUAUUUCUAGUAUUCGAUCAAUAAAUUUAUGUAAUUUUAAUACUAAAAGUGAUUGCUAAUUUGCUUUUGUAUUAUUUCCAACUUAUGAAUUUUUAUAGAAAUGACUUGUUUUAUGGAAUUUGAUACUAUUAUUAAGUGUUAACAUAUCGAUGAAUUUUAUUUGACAUUAUACAAUGUGUUUCAUUGAAUUAUACUUUGAAAAAUUAUUCAAUUGUAUUGAAUUGUCAUAAAAAAAUUAGAAUUAAAAUGAAAUUAUAAAAAAAAGUAGGGUAUGAGUUUUCUUGUAGUUAUCAUGCCUGCCAAAACAAGCCUAUUAAUCUCCGGGUACCUGACCUCAACCUUGAACACUUUGCUCACAAAAUAGAUAGGUUAUUCCAUUUUGUCCUUCUCUUGUACGAUCACAAAACUCAUCACCUAGUUAGUAACAGAUAGAAGAUAUAAAAGUGUUUUGAACAUGUGACUCCAUACACAAUGGGGAAUGGGUGAAUUGUGGAGGUUUGGAAAAUGAUGGUUUAAAAUAAAAUUAUUUUCUAAAUCAGAGUUUAAAAAUAUUUUAAUGAAAAUGUUUGGAUAUGCAGCGAAAGUAAGGAUAAAGAAAAUAAGCGGGAAGUAAAAAGUUAAGGGAAAAUGGAAGACAAUAGAGAUUUAUUGAGGUUCAGUCUUAAAGUGGUAACUUACUACUCUCCCUAAGCAGUGACUUUGAGAGUAUCCAAUAAUAAUUGAGAACUUUUCAAAGGUUAAGCACAUGAAUCUCAUUACAUAAGGAAAAUGAAGUUACAGGUUAACCUCAAACCAAACAACGAACAAAGGAAUGAAGUAGUCGGUAUUCCUGCCAAACAACGAACACAACUUCGAGCAGUUAGUCUCUAACCUAAACUGAGGUUUUGUCAGGAUAAUAUUGAACCAAGUUUGAAUUUUGGUUGGCUAUCUUCUGAAUCGAACCAAUAUUUUACAUAGGUUGGCCACGUACCGAACCGAUAUUUUAUGUCGAGUUGAUCUCAAACCGGCUGAGUUUUUGUAUAGGGUUAAACUCAAGAACCGAUGUGAACAUUUUUCACUAGUUAUUUUUCACGAACCCAAAAGGAGAGCUUUUCUUCAAGUGGCGGAGCUCACGAACCAAACAAAGAUUUGCACUAAUUCCCCCCAAAAGCUUUUAUACAGGUUUAACUUUAAACCUAAACAAUAACUUCCUAAGGAAUAAUGAUUUACUUAAGAGAAAAAAGAACUCUUGGUAACUUUUAAAAAAUGCUCUUUCCCAAAACAACCUCCUUACUAAACUCAAGAACGUUUCUUAAAGUUUUAUGGCUAAAAGUAUGUGAGACAAAUAAAAAUAAUUUUGAGAGAGAGGAACGUGAUAUAUCUCACGUUUUUGGAUGUAUAAAAAUGAAGGGGAAGUCCUCUAUUUAUAGGACAAGAAAUUGUUCAAUUUAGGAAACAAUCCUUGGGCAAAAUUAUCAUCAUUUCAAAUCAAUCCACUAAAACCUAAGACUCCGAUAUUACCGAGUCUACUUCCAUCAACAUUCAAAAUCAUAUUACUACCUUUGUGUGCAUUUCACGUGAACGUUCUCGUUGGAUGAGACAUAUUAGGUUUGAGUAAACAUUUAGCUAACAUAUUAGCAUAAUUCACUAUAAUGAGUUUCAUAUUAUAGGAAGAUACCACUUCAUUUGCAAGACAUUGUUUGUUCCUAGCGCGCCACAACCACCAGAAAACAUCCAAAGAGAUAGAAUCAUUGUUGAUGCCAUGUCUAAUCCAAUCAUGUAAACUACCCCCUUGAAAUAAGAGUAGGUCCAAUAAGCCAUUAAAUUUUCAAAAGUGAGUAGAAAAUUCACAGUUUCUCAAGCAGUGUAGAGUCAUCUCAGCGUCUUUAUUGUAUCUAGGACAAAAAUUCAUUUGGAGCAUUCAACGAUGACACAAAAUUGAUCUCAUAGGAAGGGACUUAUAAAAAGUCGUUCAAAUGAUGAAUUUCACCUUCUAAGAAGCGGGAAUGUGCCACACCCACUUCCAAGAGUUAUUUUCUAUUGUAUUCUGAACUAAUUCAAGUUUGUUGAGCCAAUUAUAACCAUCAUGAGCAAUAUAGAUAUCGUCUAAAUUGCCUUUUCAGGUUAAACGGUCAAGAAUCAGAGAAUUCAAAUAAAUAGGAAGCUCUUUUAGGCAGUCACAAACAACCGCAAAAAUAUUAGUAUAUAAUGAAUUGAAGUUCCGAUUUUCAUCCCAGUAAACAUCAUUCACUCGCAUUUCUUGAUCAUGGAUAUCCACAUAGAGAACCUUCUCCGCUAAUUUCCAUAUCUCAAACCAAUUGGAAAACCAUAAAGAGAAGUUUAUAUCCCUCAAUCUAAAUUCAAAUCCAUCUUUAAGAGUUGAGAGAGCUUUCAUAAUCCCAUUCCAAGUAAUUGAUCCUAAUUUCUUUUUCAUAUUAAGGAACAUUUCCUCACUGAUGUACCUAUGCUUCAAAACAUGGACCUAUAUGGAAUCACAAUCCUGAUGGAGAUCACAAACCAACUUUCCCAUAGAGGUAUUGGCCUCUCUUGCUUUCCAGAUCCUAAGACCAACCAUAUUUCUGAGCUUAAUGAUUUUAUUCAAGCCAACGAGAUGUACACCAGAGUUUGAAUUACCUUUCCAAAAAAAUUCUUAGUCAUCUUAUAAAUAAAAUCAAAAGUUGGUUGAGGUAGUCAAGUCAUUUGCAUAUAAUUAUUUGUAAUGGAGUUCAGGACAAACCUAACUAGAGUCAAACGACCAUCCUAGUUUAACAAUUUAUGUUUCCAAGAUGAUAACCUCUGACUGAUUUCUCCUCUAUGAACUCAAAGUCCUUGUGUUGAAGACGACCAUGAGACUUAGGGAAACUUACGUACUUAUCUAGAGUAAGAGUUUGCUUGAUACCUGUGUUGGAGACAAUUAAAUCCAUUUUACUCCUGUUAGUGGUAGCGGAGAAGAACACCUUUGAUCACUAGUAGAAAACUAGAAAUUAGAUGCCCAAAUUUAGCGUCGGCCAAACUAACAAAGAUUUGACUUUUUAAAGUUGACUUUAGACGCGGCCAGACCGAAGCUAGUUGUAUGGUUGAGUUUUAUUUACAUUUGUGUUUUAGCAUUGGUUGUAAGUUAGCCUCGAUGUAGACUCGAUUAAACCAACGCUAUUAUAGACACGACAAUAAAUAACCGACGAUAACGUCUUAACUUCGAAUGAUUUAUAUUACCCCUAAACACCGGCGCUAAACAGGUUAUAGCAUCGGUUUUUUAGUGUGUAGCAUCGAAAACUAGCUGACGCUAAAUACUAUUUUUCUAGUGGUGGAUUUAGCAACGUUCACUUUAAAGCCAGAAAAUAUGGCAAAAUGAUUCAAAAUAUCAGAAAUGAUCCCUGUCUGCGAGUUAGAAACCUUUGUAAAACGAAGAACAUCAUCCGUAAAAAAAUAAAUGCGAUAGAGGGGUCCAUUACAAGAUAACUUGACAGGUUUUCAACGGCCUUCAUUGACUAGGGUUAUUAAAAAAAAAGAUGAACUGAACUGAACCGCCUGAACCAAGUUUAAAUUAAAAUAACUGAACAGUUAUGUUUGGCUAGUGAAAUAAACCAUAUUUCAGAAACAGUUCUAGAAUCGAACCAUAUAGAAAGUAAACCGAACCAAAAUUGAAACUGAACGGAAACUAAAAAUAAAAAAUACUAAAAACAAUUUUAAAUUAAAAAAAAAAAUAGUUCAACGACUCGUUUCUUUAACAAAUGGUUUAGUUUGAGAAAAAUUAUUUUCUAACAGUUUAAUACGACUUGGAAUUUAGAAAUACCAAAUCAAUAAUUUUGGUUUGGUUCAGUUCUGAUUAAAUUGAAAUGGUUCGUGUGAAUUUUUACUAUGAUUUGAUUCAGUUCGAUUUAGUUCAAUUUUCUCACUAAACUGUAUCAUGAACAAUCCUACAAACAACAAAGAGAUAAGAUGAAAGGAGGUCACUUUGCCGUAAUCAUCUAGUAGGAGCCGUCUCCUCUACUAUUGAAUAAAAGUACUGCUCCUCCGACAUUAAUUAUAAAAAAGAUAUAAAAAAUUACACUUAUUAAUAAUGAUAGUUUAAUAUAUUUAAUUUUUUUUGAUUUUCUCUUUAUAUACAUUAAUUUACUCUUAAUUAAUUUAAUCCAUUUAUAAUUUAAUACAAGAAAAUAAAUUUAUUGAGAUUUAUUUAUACUUAAGGUAAAGAAAUUAAAAAAAAGAGUUUUACUUAUAAAUAAGAUUGGAGUAAGGUCCAAGCAAUAGAAACCCUAGAGAAGCCUCAACUAGUAUGUAGCAAGAACACCUCCUUCGCUUUUUGAAUCUCGAAUUUUCCUCUUUUUAACUCUGUUUUCCUUUUCUAUAAUCUCGAUUUCAAAUAGAUCAACAACACCUUUUUCUUUUCAUCAAUGGAAGAAGACGAUGUUAAAUGUUUGGGAUCAAAAAACGAUAUCACAUUAGGGUUACGUAAGAAACUCUAUCUCCUACAUUGCCCCCAAUGCAAAACCUACUCUGAGCCUUGCAAAUCAGGGAUACAAUCAAAUCAGCUUCUAGUUUUUUGUUUAAAAUUACUAGAAACAAAUCUGAGUUCAAACAAUGCGAGAUUGGUUGGUUCUCAAACAGUUCCAUCUCAACCCGAUUCAAAGAUUAUCAAAAUUAGUGUUACUGUUCAGAAACAGGCUAUCAAUGGAGAAAUUCUUCAACAAUCUUAUCUUGUUGAGUUUGUUCAACGCAACCGUGUCUGUGAAUCUUGUACAAGUCUUCAGCCUGAUCAUGAUCAAUGGAAUUCUGUUGUGAAAUUAAGACGACAUGAUUGUCCCAUGCAUAGUUUCUUUUGGUUGGAACAUGCUAUUUCAAAGUAUGGUCUUGCUGUUAAUGCUGUGAAAAUCAAUGAUAUGAAACACUGUAUUGAUUACUUUUUCGCCAACACAAUUCAUGUUAACGAACUUCUUGAUUUUAUCAAGGAACGAAAUCCUGUGAGGAUUUCUGAGAGUAAGGAACUUGUUUCUCAUGAUACAUAUGAUUAUAGAUACACUUGUUUUUCGGUUCGAGUUUGUCCUAUUGGUUCUCAGGAUUUGAUUUUUCUGCCACCUAAAGUUGCUUCCAGUUUGGGCAAUAUCGGUCCUAUUGUUAUUUGCACCGAUGUUGCCGAUUUUAUUACUUUGUUUGAUCCGUUAACCUUGACGGAGUGUUGCUUAGAGGGUGAUAUGUAUUGGAGGACACCCUUCAAGUCUUCGCUCACUAGGAAAAAUUUAGUGGAAUAUAUUGUGCUCGAUAUGAAGGAUGUUUUUUCAGAGGUCACUAUUGAGGGUAACAAAUUCGGAUUAGCUAAUGCUGAGGUUGCUCGUGUGAAAGAUUUGGGAAAGAAUGACACGAGAUUUAGUAUCAAGACUCAUCUAGGUUAUGAUUUGAAAGUGGGUGAUUAUGCCCUUGGUUAUGACUUGUGGGAGGCUAAUUGCAGUGAUAUUGAGAUUGAAUUGAAGGAACAGAUUCGAGAUUGUGUGAUUUUAAUCAAGAAGACAUAUGCAAUGAAACGCCUGAUGAAGAGAUGCGCAGAGCAUAUGUUCUACUUAAAAGAUCUAGAAGAGAUCACUAAUGAGGUGCCCGGCAUAUCACUUGGCGGUGAAGAGCCGCCUUUGGAGGAGAAGCUGGGUGAUCUUAAUCUGUGUGGCGAGGAGGAAUAUAAGGAGAAGAAGAAGGUGAGAACGAUGGCAUGAUCGAAUAAACAGAAGUAAUUUCUAUCCUGAUAAAGAAACUUAGUGAAUCUUUCUUUUUAGUUUAGGUUGUUUUAGUUUGCAUUUACUCUUGAAAUUGAGUACUUUUCUUUUUAAUAAUUUUCAGGAACUUUAUAGAGUACUUUUCUUUUUAAUAAAAUGAGAAAUUUGAAAUGCAACCUAACCAUUUUUAUUAUUGUUAUGAUUCUUAAUUUCUGUUCUGUGUGAGCCAAGUCAAUACUGUAAUUGUUGGGUACUGAUCUUCUCCUAUGUGUUAGAAACCUUAAAAAUGCAGUUUAACAGAUAAGAAACUGAUGUGCAUUGGUUUGAUUGUCUUGUAUGUAAAUCUCUUUUAGAAAUCUGAAAUAGUUUUACCUUUUUAUGGUUUCAUUCAUGUGUUGAAUUGGAAUAUUUUGUGGAUUUGUUAUUUAAUAUAGAUAGUUUACUUAGAGAAAGCCAACUAUUAGGACCAUUGAUAGCCAAGUUGAUGAGAGAUUAACAACUUGUUAUCGAGGAUUAUGUGCAAUGAUUUAUACCAAUAUUAAAAUCAAAACUAUUAAUGUUCUAAUUUCUUAAUUUCUUCACACUCAAAUUGUAAAGAUAGAGAUGAUGAAUGCUAGUUCUGUGUGUUACGUUCAAAGUUGAGAGAAAACAUAUAAAGCAGAAGUUAUCUAUGGGUGACAUUAGAAACAAUAUAAUGCUACAUUGUUGGUGUUCCAUUAGAUAUGUUAUACUAUAUAGGUCAAGACAUUGAAGAAUUAGGCGGAACUUUCUACCGUUUUAAUUUGCCAAAUGUGUAUGUAAAAUGGAUUUGUCACUUUUACUCUUGCUUGUAGACACCAUGGUUACAUUUUCAUUGUUUUUAUAUACUUCCUCUUGGUCCCAGAGAAAUUUUACUUUUAGUUGGUUCAGUGGUGAUUAACGCUAGAUUUGAUAGAGAUGACCAUAAUUCGAUUUCUGCAAUUGUGAUCGAUAAGGAACCGAAACCAUUUGAUGGUAGAAUUGACCUCCCAACCGGAUUAGUCGAUCCAAUGAAUCGAAUAUUCGUAGUAAGUAAAAACAAAAGAUAGUUUUUUCUUAUAAAUAGAACCCGGAGGGAGUAUAUGAUUUGUUGGAAGAGGAAGACAAAUGCAACUUUUUUUAAUACUAUGGUUGCAAAUGAGUCGAGCUUUGUUCAGUUUAACAUGACAAAAUUGGAAUCAACUUGAAAUUUGGUUCGAGUUUGUUACAUAUUUUAUUUUCUAGCUUAAAUUUCACUCGACUAAAGUUCAUGAACAAUUCGAUUUGGUUAAUUAAGUCGAAUUUGAUCCAAUUCAAUAAUUCAAAUAAAAUGGAACAAAACAAGUUAAUGCUAAAUUGAAAAAAUUAAAAGUUUAACUAAAUAUUAUAUAAUUGAAUGAAGUGGAACAAAGCAUAAGGAAUAAAAAUGUCAUUCUAUUGUUUAAAUAUUUUAAGAUGAAAUAAAACAAUUUUUUCAUUCGACCAGAAUUAGAGGAUAUAAAAAAUGAUGGAAAGUGAUGAAAUGAGAUGUGAAUAUAUAUUUCAUCCGAUUCCGUUCCAUAUCAUUCUUUUUUAAUUAAUCCAAACAAUGAAACAUAAAUAUAUUGAUCUUCAAAUUUGUUACAAUUUUUUUUUAACUCAAAUUCAACUCGAUUAAAAUUCAUGAACAAUUAUGUUUGGCUAAUUAGUUCGAAUUUGGUAACAAAAUGAAAUAAAAGAAUUGAUUAUUAAUUAAAAAAACUUUUAACUGAAGAUUAUAUAAUUUAUGAGUAAACUAGCAAAAUAGUCUUGUACAACAACCCAAUUAUAAAAAUUAAUAAAAAGAAUUAAUUAAAAUUAUAUUAGUACAAGAAAAAGUAGAUUAACAAAAAUUUGGAGAAAAAUGAGUAUUUACCAUUAUUUGAGUUUAACUUAUAAAUUUUCUAUCAUUAUCUAAUGAUAAAUUAGUGACACAAUUACACCAGAGAUCCUUUAAGUUGUUUUUUUAAAUAGAUUGGUCCUUUAAGUUUUUUUUAACAAUUUGAUCAUUUAGGGUGAUUUCUACAUUAUUUUUCUCAUAUUUUGAACAUUUAGAAAUGUGUGACUGUUGUAUUUUUUGGUUGCACUUCAUCAUUUUCAUACCACUCAAUAAUUUCAUAUAUAAUUAGCACAUUCACUCUAUUAAAAAACGAUAACGAUGCACACGUUUGGUAACUUAAAUGAUCAAGCUGUUACAAAAAAAACUUAAAGAAUCAAUUUGUUAAAACAAACUUAAAAGAUCUCUGGUGUAAUUUUGCUUAAGUUAGUAAAUAUUUUAAUAGAUAAGAGAAAGAAGGUAAUUGAUUGUAGAGGGUGCACCAGAAGUUAUCACAUGACGUAUAUAAGUUAGAAGAGUGGGAUGACAUGCUUGUUCUCAGAACUUGGAAUUUAGUGAAUCUAAGAUAUUAUUAUUGUUAACUUUUUAUUAUUUCUUGUUGGUCAAAUAGGGCGAUGGCAUUUAUUCUGUAUGAGUUCUCAAAACUCAUUCACUAAAUAAUAGAGGUAAGGUGGCAUUAUUUUUGCCUAUAAAGGCAUACAUUUUUAAUGAGGUGUCCUAUUUUUUUAACCUAGUGGUCUUAUAAUUUUUUUUCUUCAUAUUUUGUUGGAUCCUGAUAUGGAGUCUUUGCCAACUCAUCAGGCUAUUUUGUUGGAUCAUUAUAAGGAAUCCUGACCCCCUCAUUAUGCUAUUUUGUUGGAUUCUGAUAAGGAACCCUUGCUGCCUCAUUAAGCUAUUUUAUUGGAUUCUAAUAAGAAAUCCUUGUCACUUUGUUAAGCUAUUUUGUUGGAUUCUAAUAAGGAAUCUUUGUCAUUUUGUUAGGCUAUUAUGUUGGAUUUUGAUCCUAGCCUCCUUAUAGGUUAUUACGCUAAGGAGUCAUGAUCGCUUUACUAAGCUACUAUCUUAAUGAGGAUUUGAGAUCAACUAAAAGAAUACAUAAGUAAGAGGAAAAAAUAACAGAACAUCGUUAAAACAAAAUUAAUAGACAUACGACUCAAAGGCAUUAACUUUAUCAUUAAAAAAAACCUCUAACAAGGCGACAUUGCAUGUACAAUACAAAAAUCAUAAAAAGAACUUAAAGGUUGGAUAUAAUGGUCUCACCGUCCACUAACCCAUCCCCGUGAGCAUUUGUGUUCUACUUAAUUGGAAAGUUUUCCUCAUAUGCAGAGGGAGUCACUUAUAGGUUGGGAUCAUUCUCCUCAUCCAGCAGCUGGACAUCCUUGACAACUUUGAGCUCAAACUCGCCUAGAUCCAAGUUAGGGUAGAUGUGAGAUAUUUACUUACACCUUGGCUUUCUUAAAGGCCUUAUCAGCAACAUCAACUAUCUACCCCUUCACAUCGACUAGACCUUCCUCUAUCCUCUUUUUAGAAGGGCCUCUUUCUUGGUGACGGUUUCCUUCAGUGUUUCAUGCUCGACUUUCACUUGGGAAAGCUCCUCGCCAAGCUUUUUGGCAGCUUCAUAUUUCAUCGUAUGCGACUUUUUCAUCAUGUAAAUAGAGCGUUGCAUCUCAUCAUUGGACUUCAAAGAAUUAUGGGUUUUUGUCAGCAUUUCCCGUAUGGUAUUUAUCCUGGUCUUAGGAUCUGCAACAAAUCUAUCUGACUCAUUGUAUGCAUCAAACAUUAAGCACUCCAACAAGAGCCCAUAAGCAUAGGUAUCUCUAUCAAAUUAAACAUCUGCCCAUACCCCAAAUGAGUCCCAAUCUUGUGGUUGUUAGGCAUGUUUACUAGAAUGUUUAAAUGCUCCCACACAUAACUCUUGGCAUCAAAGUCUCCAUUCUAGAGGGACGGUCCCUUGCUCCCUGAAUGGGUUGAGUAAUUGGUUAAUUUCAAGGGUGUUCCGUCAAGUUUCAUAGUUUCUUGGGUACCCAAGUGUCAUCGGGAUGGACAUCUUUAUGUUUUUGGCCCUGAGUCGGAGAUUUAUCCCCUUCAGCUAGACCAAACUUGAUAAUCUUCAGGGGCUUAUGCAAAGGACGGUCUCCCUUUCAUCCAAUCUCAUUUUUCCUUUCCCUAACAAGCCUCCAAGGUGACUCUUAGGGUCCUUGGACCACUUACUUCCCCGCUCAUAUUUCUUCCUAACGUGAAGGGCAUUCUUCUAGGCAAUAGUCAUUGGAUUCAUCCUCCCUACAAACAAAGAUACAAAUGUUAGUCAAAGUAAAUAUUUCAACUACAACAACCAAACAAAUAUCAAACUUACACAAAUAAUCGCCAAUCUUCUUCUCAUUGCCAUUGCUUUGAUCGUACUACACAAUUUCCCUAGAGCUCAUAAUACGAAACUCCUCCAAAAUCUCGAGAACAUCCAUCUCUGUCUCGCUCAAGAAGUCAUGGUUGAAGCCAUUUAUUUGCACAUGGUCAUUUGUCCAGUACUGGGAAAAUCAAUUUUCAUCGAUCUCCUCAAACAUCACCAUGGAACUGUUGUCUCGCACUCGUACUCUCACAAACAUAUAUUUCCCAUUCUUGUAGUGUUUUUAAUGAGAGGUGAAAAGAACCCUUCCAAGUAAAGCACCUAGGGUCACCCAGUCUCCAGUUCUUGCCUUCUUAGUGUCGUUGAACAAAAAUAAUGUUGAACAUGUGACUCCACACGAUAGAGGGGGGUGAAUUGCAGGGGUUUGAAAAACCUUGGAUUAAAAUAAAAUUAUCUUCUAAAUUGGAGUUUAAAACAUUUUCUAAAAAGACGUUUGAAUAUGCAGCAGAAAUUCAAGAUAAAGAAAAUAUGUAAAAAGUAAAAAAUUAAGGGAAGAGAGAUAACACCAGUGAUUUAUAGAGGUUCGGUCUAAAUGAAGUAACCUACUCCUCUCCCCCAAGAAUUGAUCUUAAGAGUAUCCAGUAAUGCUUGAGCUUUUUUAGAAGGUUAAACCCACAAAUCCCCUUAUACAAGGAAAAGUGAAGUUUCAGGUUUACUUUUGACCAAUCAACGAAUAGUGGAAAGAAGCGUAUAGUUUUCAUGGCAAACAACAAAUAAUGCUUCGAGUGGUUAGUCUCUAAGCCAGGCGGAGAUUUUGUACAUACUUAUCUUGAACCAAUGUGGAGUUUUGAAUUCGAUAUUCUCCAAAUCGAUAUGAGAUUUUACACAGGCUGGCCACAAAUCAAAGAGAGAUUUUUACCGAGUUGAUCUCAAAGCUAUUGAGCUUUUAUACGGUUUGAACUCAGAAACCGAUUCGGAUUUUAUAUCGGGAAAAUCUCAAACCGUUGUGAAUAUUUUUCUCUGGUUAUUCUUCACGAACACAAAUGGAGAGGUUUUCCUUAUGUGGUUGUACUCAAGAAUCAAACAGAGACUUAACACUAAAUCCCCCCAAAAGAGAUUUUAACAGGUUUAGCUCCAAACCUAAACAAACACUUCCUAAGUGUCAUACCCCAAAAUUUGCCUCACUUUUUUCAAUUUCGUUUGGCUUAUUGCUCAUCUCAUAUGCAUAAUUCACAUGUCCUAAUCAUCCAUCAUAAUACAUUCAUUUACAGUUGCAUCUUUCAAAUAAUAUCCUUGAUUCAAAGUUUUUUUGUUAUUUAAGAUACAAGGCACUAAAUUAUGGUUUGAAAGAUUAUGGUGAGUAUACUUUAUCUUAACACUGUGGAUUGUGGGCACAACAAAUUGGUGAUUGAUCUUGGUUCUUUGAGCUAAGUUCUCAGGGAAACCCUAAUCCUUGAUUUUGGUUGACUAGUCAUUUUAGCUACACCAUGUCAUUGAAAUUUAGGGAGUCAUUUUCAAGUCUUGAUUCUAGUCUCUGAAAUUAAGGGUUAACUUUUGUUAUCCAUUUUCAUUCUUAUUUGGUGAUCAUAUUUUACUUGUUGUUGAUUCAUGGCAUGAUAUGUCAUCCAAGAGAUCAAGAGCUCUCAAAUUCAAGGUCAUAUUCAAGUACAAAAUCAUGUUCAAGAUUCAAGAUCAUGGAGGAAAGGCAUGUUAUUUAACCUACAAUACACAAUUCAUUCAAAAUAACAUCGUUUUCAUUACAAGUCAUCAGAGCAUUCAUUACAACAUCCAAAACCAAGUUUACCAAUCCAUACAAAACUAUACACAUUUUUGACCUAGAGUUGACUCUGGUCAACAAUUGACUUUUUGAUCAACAGUUGACCAAAGUUAAACUAACUACCCUAACCCCUAAAUCUAGUUUAGUUUUCCUUUCCAAUAUUUUUUUCAUUUAUGCCAUGAUUUUCCAAAAGCCUUCAUGAUCCAUUUGGUUCCAUGCCAAUUUUGGUACAUGUCUUCAAACCUUGCCACCACCAUACAACCUGCAACAUCAAAGCCAAAUAACAUCAUCAUCACACUUGCAAAACAGACCAAGAAUACGAGUUAUGAUGCAUUGCACACACAUAGUCAUACACAUAUCUAUCAUAUACCAUAGCCCCAAAUCAACACAAUCUAAUUGAACCUAACCUUUUUUUUUCUCAUUUGAAAGUCAUACUAACAAUCACAUUCGAUAAUAUCUACUGACGGUUGUUAAGGUCACUAACUUCAAGCAUAUGUAACAAUUAGCAACUUCGUAAGAUCAUAACAAUUCAAAUCACAUUUUGACACCAGUUCUUAGCAGUUCCACAACAUCUCAACAUUGCAUUUCAUUUCUAGUUUGAAACCACUAAUAGUGAACAUACAUGACAAGUUUAAUUUCAUAGGUUUAAUUGAUGUCUUUAGCUUAACAGAUCAUUCAUAUAGCUUAGUUGCAUAGUUAACAUCUCAACAUUACAAACACAACCAUGAUAGUUCAAACAAUUCACACUAAACAGUUAGAAUAGCACUCACAUGGCAUUUAAGUUAGUCCCUAUGGACUGGUGCAACAUCAAUUCUAAUAUCCUUCUAACAAUUCAUAACAUUAACUACAAUCAUUCCACUAACCUUCUAAUUGUCAAACCAAAUCCAUAGUCUCAUAACAACUAACCUUCCAAUUACUAAUCCAAACUAACUCUCACUAAAACAGAAUUAAAAAAAACGACUCCUUCAAUCACUUGCUAACAUUGCUAACCUCUUAACUGAAUCCAAAAACUAAUUAAUAGUUGCUAGUUCACUCACUAACUUCAAAUUCAAAAUAGUUAACAGUCCACAAAUACUCAUUAAUAUUCAGUUCACUAUUAUUUUUCGAAUUUACCAAUUGUCAAAAUAAAAUCACUAACAGAAAAAACACUAAGUCCAAAUUGAUUAACAUAGAAAAAUAGUUCAGCAUAUGCUUCAUAAUAGUAAAAACUAAAUAAAAUUCAUAGUAGUUCAAUCCACCAUUAACAACUAAUCAUCAAACCUGCAUAAUCAGUUAACAUAACUAAUUCACCACUUAUUCUUUUCCUAUAUAGCUAACAAGUCGAUUCAAUCGAUUUUUAACUAAACCAAUCUCUUAACUUGUCAUUUCAACUCAUAAAUCUAAAUUUCCAUUGACCAAACCAACUCGUAUAACCCACCCUAACAAUUCCUAACACAAACUAGUUUAACCUAACUGUCAGCUAAGUUAUUUCACCAAUUUCGAAUUCUUGCCAUAACUCUAAGCUAAUUUCCAAAUUCAAACAACAACCUCUAACCAUUUCUCAUAAAAGCUAACUAACUUCAAAUUCAAUUCAUCACUCGCCACAUUUCAACUAACUAAACUAAUCCAUUAACUCUCAAGUUCAAAUUCUAACUUCAAUUAACUGCUAAUUGAUGCCCUAACGUGAAACAAAACUUGCCCUAAAGCUUGCCCGAUUCUGUUAUAACUCUAAUCUAUAUAAUCCUCACCCAUCUUCAACAAUCAACAACAAUCACACUUUACACAAUUCAUCAUUCUGUAUGCAUUCAUUCUCCUUCCUCACCACUCACCAAAAGCUCAAGUUCCAUCAUUGAUGAGCAAGUUUCACCUUGAAGCUUGCUACAACUGAGCUCAACCUCUACUAUACUUUAUACUCCCCAAGGAACAACAUCAACAAUAUCAAAAAACCCAUCUCCUACAGACUACAUGAAGAACAAGAAGAAGUUAAUAUCAAAAGAAGUUAAGGAGUGCAUCAUUUACCUGGAUACACAUCUCACGUCUUCUGAUAGGGAAAAGAUGGAGAAUGUAGAGAGAGAGAGAAUAGAGAGUAGAGAUAGGAAGAGAGAAUUUCAUUUAUUCAAUAAAAGCAUACAUGGAAUGGUUAGUUUCUAACUAUUUAUAACUGUCAAAAGCAGUUAUAACAACCCAAACUAACUAAAUAUAACUGUCUAAGCAGUUAUAACUAAUAUAUGCAUCAUAUCCCGCCCCUUAAAAUCUUCCUUGUCCUCAAGGAACAACUGUAACAUCAAAAUAAGGAAAUUGGAGUUUGAGUUUGUAUAGCAACUCCCAAGUAGCCUCUUCCAUAGCCUCUCCUUUCCACUGAAUCAAAACCUCAGUAACCGCCCUAUUGUGCCUCUGAAUGGAGCGCCUCUUCAAAAUCUUAAAUGUCAAAACCUCAGUAACCGCCCUAUUGUGCCUCUGAAUGGAGCGCCUCUUCAAAAUCUUAAAUGGUUCCUUAGGAUCAUCCAAACUGCCCCACUCCUCAGGAAGUGCAACCACGGGAAUGUUCUCAUCAUGUCACGGUUUCAAAAGAGAUACAUGGAAUGUAGGAUGAAUCCGCGAAGUAGAUGGAAGAAUCAAGGUGUAUGCAACUUUUCCCACCCUAUGCAACACCUGAUAAGGACAAUAAAACCGAGGAGAAAGCUUUUCGGAAGCACGAUAUUGAGCAGAAGCUUGUCUAUAGGGCUGUAACUUUAGGAAAACCCAAUCUCCUUCCUUAAAUUCCCGAUCACUACGAUGUUUAUCAGCCUGUCGCUUCAUACGUGCUUGAGUCCGGACCAAAUUACCCUGUAAUUUCUGGAUCAUUUCUUCCCUUACAAUGAAGCUUCGAUCGACUGCCUCGACCUUGGUACUUUGAGGGAAAUAAGGAAGAUGCAGUGGUGGUGCUUGGCCAUACACAAUCUCAUAAGGGGUAGCUUGAAUAGCGGAAUGGUAAGUGGUAUUGUACCACCACUCAGCCAAAGGUAACCAAUUGACUCAUUCCUUAGGCCGCUGCCAUGUCAUAGCCCGCAAGUAAUGUUCUAAGCAACGGUUCAAGACUUCGCUUUGACCGUCCGAUUGAGGAUGAUAAGCUGUCGUUAAGCUCUGUGAAAUGCUCAACUGACCAAGAAAAGAACCCCAAAAUUUACUUGUAAAUAAGGGAUAUCUGUCACUUACGAUGUUGGCGGGUGCACCAUGUAACUUGUAGAUUUUAGCAAUGAAAAUUUCAGCUAAUUUGGAUGCAGUAAAAGGGUGAGCAAUAGGGAUAAAAUAGGCAUAUUUGCUUAGCCUAUCGAUAACUACCCAAAUCGUGUCUUUAUCAUGAGAUUUAGGAAGCUUUUCAAUGAAGUCCAUGGCUAUACUUUGCAGCACUCCCUCUGGGACUGGCAGGGGCUGAAGUAAACCCGCAACAGCUCUUGGUUCAUACUUGCAUCGAAGGCAAGUCUCACAUUGCUGAAUGAACUUUGUGACAUCCUUGGCAAGGCCUUUCCAAUAAAACAUGCUCUUUAUCCUUGCUAUAGAAGCCCUGAUACCUGAGUGGCCUCCUUGACGUGAAGAAUGAAGCCAUUGUAGAAUCACUAGCCGCACUUGUCCAUCAUUAGGAAUGACCAACUUCUGUUUUCUAUACAGCAAAUUAUCCAAAACAGAAAAAUGGGGAUGCAAGGCUGGAUUAGAGAGAACCUGCAGCUUGAGACCCUGUAAAGCUGAAUCAUGCUCAUAGCUCUUAAAAAGAAAAUCCCAUAACUCAGAAGAAAUAGAAGAAACAGUCAGUUGUAAAACUUCACCGUGAGAGGCUCUAGAUAAUGCAUCUGCAGCCACAUUAUCCUUACCCUUCUUAUACAUAAUUUCAUAAGAAAGACCCAUGAGCUUAGUGACCAAUCUAUAUUGGGCUGGAGUAGAUAGACGUUGCUCCAAUAAGUACUUCAAACUGUGCUGGUCAAUAAGGAUAGUAAAUGUGUUCAGGGAGAGGUAUUGGUGCCACUUAGAGACUGCAUUAAUGCCAAUAAUUCCCUGUCAUAAACUGACAAAAGCCUAUGUUUAGGAGAUAAAACCUUGCUAAUAAAAGCCACAGGGUGCCUGUCCUGCAUUAGCACAACACCAAUUCCAGUGCUUGAAGCAUCUGUUUCAACUACAAAUGGCUUUUGCAUAUCAAGGAUGGCCAACACCGGGGAAUUACUCAAAGCAUCUUUCAAUGUAGUGAAGGCGGUGUGUGCCUUUUCGGGCCAAUGGAAAGAAUCCCGCUUGAGUAAAUCAGUAAGAGGAGAGGCAAUAAUACUGUAACCUUUAAUGAACCGCCUGUAGUAACCCGUCAAUCCCAAAAAUCCCCUCAAUUGCUUAACUGUUCGAGAAUAUACAAUCAAUGAGAUUGGUCCAUUACGAGGAUCGCAGAGGGUUGAUACCAGUCUACCUUUAUCGAAAACGUUCACUCCUUUCAAUGUGCACUUAUCGAAGUUCUCGCGGAAGUAGGCCGUUUAAACCUAUAUUUUUCUGGGCCUACAUUGGAACGUUGAACAUCUCCAAGUUUACAUCCGUUGCGUGUCGUGAUAAAGUAAAUCAGUGAAGAGGAGCAGAGACAUAUCCAAUUCCAUAUAUAAACGUAUGACAUCUAGUAGACCUCUUUUAUUAAUGAACCGCGCCUGGGUAGUAAGACGUACUAACAAGAUCUCUAAGAACCGUCUAUUUCAUAUUUUCUAAAAUUACAGGGCAACGCUCCCUGACCACAGAACUUCGACACAAGUCUACCAUACUUUGCUCCUCCUACAGCAUGGGGCGUUGUAAUGGUCAAUUCUGUUAUUAGGAUGGGAUGUUCACAGAGCAAUCUCAUACAGCAAUUCCAUUUCUACCACGCUUGAGCAACCUUAAUAAUAAUCGUGAGAUAUAAAAUGAAUCUAGAUGGUCUAGCUCCCGGAGUACGCUUACCUUAGAUAUAGCUGUGUAACCAAUGAAAUGAACUAGUAUUCGAUCCGGUGUAGUGAAAUUACGCACACUUUUACAUUUUUCUCUUCAAUAUCAAAUAGCAACAAAAUAAUGCUCCGUUGUAGAUCUAUAUGAGGAUCAUCUGUGACAUAAUAUCGAGAGACGCAUUUCUAUAUAUGCGUCUCUAUCAUGUGCAAAUACUCUUGCCUGUGGUUUGGCUUGUUCUGAUUCUGGAGGUCCUUGACCAACGAUUUGGGCCUCCACGUUCCUUGCUCUCCCUACAUUGUUAUUGUUUAUUAGGAAUGCUCCUUCUGGCUUGUUUGUUGAUUUGUCCUUAAGGGACAAUCUUUGAGAAAAUGGCCCUUUCUGACCAGCAACGAAAAACAGCCUCCAAUAUUUCUAUUGACAAUUUUUGUUAAGAUGUGGCCCCUUCCAAAUGUCUUGUAACACUUGAACAUUUAACCUCCUAGAAUCCUGGUUAUGAUAUGGUGUAGGCCUUUGAUAUGGCCUACCCCUUUGUUUCGGGGAGAUUGGAUCCACAUGUGUCCCUUUCCCUCACCAUAGGACUCGGGUCGGUUAAAAUAUAUGUGGCACCCUCCGUGAGUUAUGAAAUGUUCUGAGUUUUCCAGGAUAUGAAGAAUGUAAGUAAUACACACUUCCCUCCAUAGUAAUUCCAUUAUUCCCGAAUAAAUAUACCCACUAGUUUGUGUUCAUAAUUCCUUGUCGCCAACUCCAAUAGACAAAUCAGUUUAUGACUUGCGAGUCUCACCAAAGGCGCAUAUAUUGCAAUUGAAGUAGGAACAACCGUCCCUCUAAUACUCUCAAUAUUAUUAAAGAUCAUCACACUCGCUAAGAAUUAUACCAUUUAUCUCACGACGAUCCAUUCCUUCUUGGAUGCAGCGGUUAAAAUUCAGAAUACUUUAGCAAGGAUUUAAACUUCCAUAGUAUACUCUCCACCGUCAAUUACUCAUAGCAUGCGUUUGAAGAAUAUGUCCUCUAGGUAUGCGUUUCACCUCGAGCCUCAUAUAUGUCAUGGUUUGGCACACUUUAUUCUCUUCCUUGGUGUUAUUCAUUUCCCCUACAUAGCUUUCGAGGGACAACAUCAUACCUAUGCCGUCGCCAGCAUUUAAGUAUCUUACAUUUGAACACAAACGACUCUGCAAAUUGAUCUCUCUCAUCCCUUCCUCUUCCAAUAAUAUCUCAUCUACAUCUAUAUUCCUUAACUCCGCACCAAGGGAAUUGGAAAUUUAGCACUUGGCACCCUGUGAUGCGUCACGCCUUGUUCAGUUCAAAUGCACAUGUUUCCUAGCCAAAUCCAUACAGCCCACAUGACGCUCAACAAUCUUUUAUUUCCUCCAAUCUUUCACUCUAUUUUGACGUUAAAGUGAACAGAACAAAAUACUUAUCAGGAGUACACGUCCUAAAUCAAAUCUGUGAUAAGAACCCUAUUGGUCUCAGCAUGAAUUACCUACCUCCGAAUUAAAGUCACCACGAAAUCUGAGGGGGGGGGGGGGGGGGGGGGGGGGGGGGGGUGGUGGUUUCCCUUUCCGAGAAAGCGAGUUAAGUCAACUAAGCACGGCCGUCUAUCCUCUUCAACAUUGCACAUUUUCUCCUUUGUAUGCUAUGCAAUGUGUAUUAUCCUGAUAAAAAGUUGCUGAGCUUGGUGGAUAUCUAUAAGGUCCUUAAACUAACUGGGUUAGAACCCUCACUUUAGCAACAAUUUGAUGAUCAUGAAUACCCCUAAAGGGUGGCAGCUCAGUAGGUGUUCAAAGACCUCCUGGACUUCCCUGUAAAACAGAUUUCUCUAUGCGCCGUCAUCACAGGAUCCUCUAGCUCCUUAGUGGUCACAUAACAACACACUUGCCUCUGCUGAACAAGGUAGUAGCUGUAGGGCAUGUAACAGAAGAUAUCUUCCACCACUAAUUGAUUGCAAUUAGAAGCAAGAAACCACCUUAUUACACAGCCUGCAACUUCACAUUCAUACCAUCAAUAGAUAUUCACAUUAGCCAUAUGGUGAUAAUCCAUUGUAUGACACCCCAUGCCUUAACCAUUGCAUGCCCAAUAUAACAUCAACAGACUAGACAAUGGUAUAGCAAAUAGCGUCAGUAAGAAAGUCAUACCCUUGAGUUUUAAUAACUGAUGCCUUCCAACGUCCUGCACCAUGUAUAAGCCCGCCAUCAACUACAGUUAUCCGCAAGGGAUGCUCAGUUGUAGAAUAUGUAGCCCCUCCUUACAUAAUUUCUGGCUAUGAAAUUAUGAGUGCUGCAGUGUCUAUGAGUACAUAACUCUGCUUUUUGCCCAGCCAGCAAUCAAUCUCAUCAUAGGAUGAGAAGAGUCUCCCUGAAUGGAUUAAGAGAAACAGUAGGAUCAACACUUUGAAUAGGCUCAUUAGACACUUCCUCAGAAACAGAAUCAACUUCAAUUGAGUCUAAUUGAUUUUCCUCCCCAACCUCCAUAAGGAAAACUUGCAUUUUUUUUUCUCUGGGGACAAUCAUGUCCAGAAUAGAAUUUGUCAUGACAGAAAAAAUACAAGUUUUGAGCCCUAUGUUCAUCCAUUUCUUUAGGGGAAAGUUUCUUCUGAAACGUAUAUGCUGGCUUUCCCAAAAUGCUCUUCUGAGAACCUUCGACAAUCCCUUUCUUCUCCUGAGGCAUCACUUUCUUGUCAAAGGUGUUAGAAACUGUACUCUUCUUCUCACUCCAAGAACUCUGGGUUCGAUUUGCAAGCACCAACCGUUUCUGCAACAAAUCCAAGCUUCGUUCUUGCAACUUUGCAAUACGAGGAGCUUCCAACACCGUACGUGGGGCGAACAUCUUCACACCAUUACACAAUUCCUGUUGAAGGCCUCCCAAAUAGCACUGGAGCUUUUGAGAUUCUGUCAACGCUGUUCUACCCACCAGAUUAUCGAACGAUUCCUGAUAUGCUUCCAGCGAACCAGUUUGCACUAAUUUCUUGAGUUCUUCCAUAGGUGAAUCGAACUCGAGGCUAAAUCGCAUCUUCAAUGCCUCGGUGAAAUUCGGCCAUGUCAAUCGGCCAUUCGAUCCCUGUUCUAGACUUUGGAACCAACGAAAAGAGUUAUCAUCAAGAGCGAUACUCGCAACCGAGACCUUGUCCCCUUCUUGCGUUCCAUCCAACGAAAAAAAAAGUUCGCAUUUCGCGAUCCAAUAUUCCACAUCGUCUCGAGUGAAUUUUGGAAAAUACAGACGCGUUAAUCGCGUUGCUGGUCGAGUUGCACCGUCGCCGGCGCCGCCAUGGCGACGCGCCGCCGUUAACUCCGACAUCUGCAAUCCAAUUCCGUGCAUGGCUUCUUGCACAUUGGUGAAUUGAGUUUCGAAACGAUUCUCCAAUUCACGAAUUUGCCUCGUGAUACAUGGCUCCACUGUCGCCAUGAUGCGUUCCUCCGCCUCACGAAUGGCGUUCUGCAGUCGCGUCGCUUCUGCCAUGAAUGGUGUGGCCGAGGUCGACAGGCUCUAGAUACCAAUGAUAGGGAAAAGAUGGAGAAUGUAGAGAGAGAGAGAAUAGAGAGUAGAGAUAGGAAGGGAGAAUUUCAUUUAUUCAAUAAAAGCAUACAUGGAAUGGUUAGUUUCUAACUAUUUAUAACUGUUAAAAGCAGUUAUAACAACCCAAACUAACUAAAUAUAACUGUCUAAGCAGUUAUAACUAAUAUAUGCAUCAUCUUCUUAUUGUUUUCUUCAACCUUCAACGCAUUCCAGGGUACGCUCCGACCCUGUAGGUUGUUAGCUCCCUCUAUUCCAUCUUCUCUAGCCUUAAGCGGGUUACCACGAUGUAGUUUCAGGUACGGGGAAUCAAAGCCCUAAGGUUUUAGGCUCUGAUUCCUCCCUAACACCAUUUAAUUGUUGUUUUGAUUUUUAGGCAUUUUGAUAAAAUCGUGAGGGAUAAAAAGUAUCUUUAAGAAUUAGAUGAAAUCAUGGUAAGAAGUAGGAAGAGGAGAGUAAGGUAGUUCUGAUGAUGGUGGUUAUGGCCAUUUCUGGGCUGCUCCGGCGCAAGAUAGAUAGAUAGAUAGAGAAAGAGGCAUGAGGUGAGGUUUGGUUCGUAGUGAAAUUUAAAUGAGGGGAUCGAUUCUGAUUCAUUCCUUCUUGCCCUCAAUGUGCGGUCCUCUGAGCAGGCCCAAAGGCCUUACUUCCAAAAACGAAUUUGGGCAUGUAGCUUCUAGAGCCCAAAAACGUUUUUGCCUUGACACCUGAAAUUUCAGAACUGCAACCCCUGGCCCAUUUUAUUUAAUUCAAUUGUUUUUGUUCUUUUUUGUUGAUAUUUUAUUCUCAUUUAAUUUUUCUUGAUUUUAAUUCUUUGAUAUUGGAUGUUUAGUUGUUAUUUUAACUAUAUUUAGAGCUAACAAUGAAAGUACAUGUUCAUGUUAGAAUUAAUUAGACAUUAUAGAAUUUAAUUAGAUGAGUUUUAGAAUUCUAGGAUUAAUUAUAAUUUUAGAUUUUGUUUAGAUAUAAUUAGGGUUUUAGUUCUAAAUAGAUUUUACUUUUGGAAUUAACUUCUUGAUUAAUCAUCCAUCUAAUUUGACCUUUUUACCCUUAGGGUUAUUUUAGUCAUAAAAAUGCAUGAUCCUUUAGGGUUAGAAUUGACUUAGCCUAAUUAGUCAUUUUAAUUAAGUUGUUUUUUAUGUUAUACUUGGUAGUGAUAUUUGAUUAGUGUGACUUUAACCUUUGCAUGAGCCCUUAGGAAUAACUUGUACAUAAUAUUAACCCUUAGAUUAGGUCAACCAGAAUUCUCAAAUUAAUUCAAACCCUCUGAUUUAAGUUGAUCAAAAGCAAUUUUGAUUGACUAAAUCCUUUGAUCAUGUAUAAUCCCACAGUCUAUUCAAGUGAUCAAAAGUCAUUCGAUCUUUGAUCACUUGAUAAGACUACUUCUAAUGUUGUGGAUCUCAAAGCUUCAAGUCCAGACUUUCAUGCAAUACAUCCCAAGCAAAUCAAGCAUCGUAUUAUACAAGAUACAACACAUGUAAACACUUGGAAACCAUUCAAAUUGUAUGCCAUGAUCCUUAAGUAAUGAGGAAUGAUGAGACAGAGUUUCUCCUACCCUUGUUUAGAGUGACUUUACGUACGGGGCGUAGGCCCUAGAUAUUCAAAGCAUUCGUCUUCAUUCAUAGACUUUAAUACAAUGUGAAUCAAAUAAAUUGCCAAGCCUUCUUCACUAAAGCAACAUUAAUCCAAGGAGCAGCAAGGAGGAUUCUUCCCUAACAACUUGUCAGUUAUGAUAGAUAUUACAUACCAUGAGCCUUAAGUAAUGAGGAAUGAUGAGAUAGAGUUUCUCCUACCCUUGUCUAGAGUGACUUUGCAUAUGGGGCAUAGGCCCUAGCUACUCAAAACAUUCGUCUUCAUUCAUAAACUUUAGUGUGGGUCAUAUCAAAUGACUGUCAAGCACUCUUCAUGUUCCAUUAUCAUAUCAUUUCUCUGGCCUUAUCUUGCUGCCAGCCCUAGUGGGCUGAACUACGAAAGCUCUGACUUUCUCAUUGCACAAUGAGAAUACAUAGGCACGAGAAUUCAGAUUCUCCGUGAGCUACCAUAUUUAUUAAUCCUAUCAUUCUUUUUCCAUUCAAUCAAUACCAUCUUUUUUAGAUUAAAUAUCACCUUUCCUUGGACUCCAUAUAUACCCUUUUUAGGAUGAUAUAGCGACAGUCCACCUUGUGAACCCAUAGUUAUUUAUCUUGUAAACAAACACUUUAUUCCUUCUUUUUAGCUAAGACGCAUGUUUGCUCUUUGAUCCAUAGUUUAUUCCUUCAUGGAUCCAAUAUAUUCUUCUUCUUUAAUUUCAAAUUGAUUACUCCCCAGCAAGUGAUAAUAUUCCCUGUACUAAGCAGCAUUGCAAUUAAUCCUUGAAAUUAUUUGUCUUGUGAGUCCCUGUUGCUUAUACAAAUAUCUCUCUCUUUGUUUCCAUUGCAGUUACUGUUCAUCACUGCAAUCAUACCUUUGAAAUUGUUUAUCUUGUGAGUCCCCACUGCUUAGACAAACACUUCUUUGUUAUCUCUCUUUGUUCUCGUGGUUCGACGAACUACGAGUGCUCUGACUUUCUCAUUGCACAGUGAGAGUACGUAGGCACAAGACUUCGAAACUUUGGCAAGCACAAUCCUAAUUAUUUCUUCUGCCUUAGGGCACCAUUCAUAUCUUUCAUGAAUCAUCAUCUACCUUCAAUCAUUGAAUCAGUCACUCCAUGUGAUAUACAAUUAUCUUUGAGCCAAAUACACUAUCUCUUUGAGCUCCAUCUUGUGUCAGUUUGUGAACCAAGAGUUGUUUGUGCUGUGAAACCAAACAUUUAAUUCUCUUUGUUUUCGGCUAUACCAUAUAUAGUGGCAUAUACUUCUGGCUACCCACGUAUUGGUCAACGCUCGUUUUACUAUUGGGUUCAGAUUUCAUCCCUUUUUGGAGUCAAACAACAUAGUCCUUUAGUUCAGACCAUACCUUGUAUCACAACUUCUUUUCACCUUCCACCAUUAGUUCUAUGAACUACGGAGCUCUAAAUUUCUUAUUGCACUAUAAGGAUACGUAGACAUGAGGGACCCAGUCCUCACCGAGCACUUUAUCUAUUCUUUUUCUUUUCCAUUUAUCCUUUCGCGAGUAAUCCUUAGAUAUAACACUCAUUCGAGCAAAAAAAAUCAAAACGGUUCUUGUUGGGUACAACAGAUGUGAGGGGUGCUAAUACCUUCCCCUUGCAUAACCAACUUCCUUACCCAUAUUCUCUUUUCCCAGGUUUUAUCGAUGUUUUCCCUUUCCUUCGGGAAUAAAUAAAGUUCGAUGUUGACUCUGUUGUAUGUUCGAGCGUGCGAUGCGUUCGGGUAUAUUUCCGCUAGCUUCACUAUGUACUUUCAAGGGGUCAUUUUGGAGCAUAUUUGAGUCAUUGGAGAGAAAUUGUUUCAUAGAUUUUGAUGAUGAAUACUUCUCCAUUCAUGGUAUUUGUUAAUAUAUCAAUGAGUAACUAAGUUUCUCUAUAUUAGAUCUUUUUUAGAUGAAUUUUAUUUUUACUCUGUUGGAUCAUAUGUCUGUUUGAGAUUUGUUGAGUACUUUUAAUGUUAUUAUCUUAUUUAAAUUUUUCUUGUGUUUAAUGCUUUUUGUCGCUUACGGGAGUACAAAUUAAUCUAGAUAAUUAGGAAUUUGUGACCGUUAGUCUAAUUAUUUGAACUAAACAAUUUAUUCAACUUUGUAAUUAACUAGAUAUAUGUAAUUAGAAGUUGUUACUUAUGAAUUAAUGUUAUUAGAGCGCCUAAUUUAAAUUUGAAUUGACCUAAGGAAUUAGGUGAUUAUUGUAUAAAUUAAUGAGAUACACAACAAGGAAUUGGGUGUAGUGUUAUGUUAAUUUGCAAUGAGAUAAUAACUUAACUGAAACUCAAUAGAUACACAGUUCAUCAAAAGGUAAAAAAAAGGAGAUUCGAUAUUAAAGACUAAAUCGUUUUUCACGCCUUGAAUUUAAUCUUAUAAUUUCUUGUUUUAGAACCACUUUUCAAACCCCUACCCCCUUUUUAAUUACUUAAUAUCGCACACAAUUUUCUGGUUAAAUUAUAAUUCUCACAGAGACGAUCUUUUUACUAUUACUUCGACGUUAUCAGUAUACUUGUUGGGAGGUCAUCAUGACCCUACAUUUUAUAGAUCUGUUGUUUGGACUCUCCAAUAUGCUACUAUCACUAGGCCUACAAUAAGCUUUGCAGUCAAUAAGGCUUGCCAGUUUCUUUCACAACCUCUUGAUAGUCAUUAAAUAGUUGUUAAGAGAAUACUGAGGUACUUAAAAGGGUCACUUGAUCAUGGUAUUUUUCUUCAGCCAACUUUAACUCAAUCACUUCUACCCAUAAAGGCUUCCUUGAUGCAGACUAGGAACUGACUCAUACGACAUAAGUCUUGUAUUUUGCUAGGUCCUAACCUCAUAUCCUGGUUGUCAAAGAAGCAAACUUUAGUGGUCAGAUCCCACACUGAAGCUGAAUAUAUGAGUUUGUCCAACCACUACUACAUAAAACACUUAUCACAACGGUUGGUAAAGGGAUACCACCAUGUUGGUCCAACCGUUGUGAGGUAAAGUGUGAUUGCAUGUAUGCAUCUUUCUACCAUGGACAUGUGACCGUGAUUUGUAUCUUUGUAGCAUACUAUCUACCACAACGGUUACUUUAAGCAACCGUUGUGAUAUUCUUUAAUGAAUAAUAUUUAACAACGGUUUUGCUAAACAACUGUUGUGAUAUAUACACGUGAGUUUAUUAUAAAUUAUGUGGAAUGCUUAUUUUGCAAUGCUCACUAAAUAUAUAACCUUUCAAUCUGAGCUAGAAUAUUAUAAUAUAAAAAAUUAAGUUAUAUUAGAAGAACAAGUUCACGUUCAAUGCUUGACAAGAGUUCUUCAACCCCUAAUCCGCAUUUACCUCUGUAACAGUUAGAAUUUUGUUUAAUUAUCCUAGUUCUUAAACCACCCUUGCCUUCACCUCUAGUUCAUUUUGAAAAAUAUUAUUUAGUUUAUAAAUAAAAUUAGAGGUGGAAAGAGGGGUGGUUAAAGAUCUAGAACCAUUAAACUAAGUUCUAACUAUCAAAGAACAACAUGCAGAUAACUGAUUGAAGAAUUCUUAUCAAGAAUUGAACAUGUACUUGUUUUCUAAUACAACUUUAUUUAUAAUAUUAUAAUUUUCUAAUACAAUUUAAAAGUUAUAUAUUCGGUAAGGGAUUAGAAAAAUACUCAAAUCACAUAAUAUAUAAUAAACUCAUAUUUUAAACAAACAUUAGCAACAACAUCCAUAAAAAACAUUCAUCAACAACAAACCAUAAACAACAUACACGAUACAACAAAUAUAUCAAGUACUAUAAUGGUUAAAAAAUGUACCACACAUGUCCCAUAAUGGCGUGUCCACAAUAAAAUAAGGAUGAAGCUAAAGUUAGAGCUUCUAACUUGUGUAUAUUUCGAAUGGAUGUCAUUUUGGAUCUUUCACACAAGUUUGCAACGCUAACUUUAGCUACGUCUUCUUUAUUGAAACAAACAUCCUUACGUACAAGUCAAAACAAGCAGAAACUUCAAACAUUAUGAAACAAAUUUUGAAAAAAAUCCAUAGUGAAAACGAACCUGUUAACACUCAUUGGCUAAAAUUUGAUGUUAUGGUUUAGUUUUGGGGUUUCCAUAUGAGUGACAAAGUUGUUAGAGUUUCAUUUUGAGAGAGACGAGUGAAAAAGUUAAUAGGAUUUUGUUUUGAGAGAGACGACAGUUAUGUACUGAAGCGAGAGAUAAUUUCGCUUAUAUAUACAUAAGUAACCCCUUUCACCACAGUUUGAAAACAAAAACAAUGGUGAUAUACAAGGUCAAUCACAUUAUUAUCACGAUAAAUGACAAAUUGUUCGUGCUGGGAUUCAAACCAUUUCACUCCAUGUACAUUUCACUACGAUUGUUACAUAUGACCGUUGUGACAUGUCCUUUAGUAAAUAGAAAAGAAAAAAAACGUCCAAAAAUAAACUAUUUACCACGGUUUACAUAAUGACCGUUGUAAAACUGGUGUUACGAAAAAUAUAUUUUGUAAUAGUGAACUCAUCUUCUAAAGUCCUAUGUAUCCAAUCCCUUCUCAUUGGCUCCAUUUACAAUACAUGUGCUCUUUGGUGACAAUCUAAGCAUAGUUGCUUUGUCUCACAAUUCAAUCCUUCAUGGCACAUGGAACUUGACAUGUUCUUCCUAAGGGAAAAGGUGCUUAGCAAGAUCAAAUAAUUCAACAUGUUCUUCCUAAGGGAAAAGGUGCUUAGCAAGAUCAAAUAAUUCAAGUACAAGAAGGAUUCCCUUUAGGUGCUUAGCAAGAUCAAAUAAUUCAACAUGUUCUUCCUAAGGGAAAAGGUGCUUAGCAAGAUCAAAUAAUUCAACAUGUUCUUCCUAAGGGAAAAGGUGCUUAGCAAGAUCAAAUAAUUCAACAUGUUCCUACCUUUCUUCAGCUUAGAGAUAAGUUCCACAUUCGGUCAAGUUCAUUGUUACUAAGAGAUGACAUUGUCUUUAAGGGAAGAUAUUAGAGUAUAAUUCAUAUAACUAAUUGUGUUAAGUCAAUACAAUUAGAUUUAACUAUAAAUACAACUAAUUCAAAAGUACUAAUCCUUUUGUCCUGAAGCGAAAAUCUUAUUUAAAAUCAAAGCAAUUAAUAUUAAGUAAUUAAUGCAUAUAAAUAAAUUUAUUGGCAUUUAAGGAAAACAAAAACACUUUUACUCAUAAAUAUAAUUGGAGUAAGCUUCAAGCAAUAUAAGCCUAGAGAAGCCUCAUCAUGUAAGUAGCGACGAAACCUCCUUCGCUUCUUAAUCUCAAAUUUUCCUUUUCUAUACUCUUCGAUUUCAAAUGGGAGAAGACGAUGUUGAUAUUAUGACACCUGAUCGAACCUUCCGUACCACUCCUUGUUCCCAAUGCAAUUUCCCAAUUCAACCAGAUUCAUCAAAUACAUGCAUCCAAUGUUUACGAUCAAAAAACGAUAUCACAUUAGGGUUACCCAAGAAACUCCAUCUCCUUCAUUGCCCCCAAUGCAAAACCUACUCCGAACCUCUCAAAUCAUGGAUCAAACUACAAUUACAACCAAAACAGCUUCUUGAUUUUUGUUUAAUAUUACUAGAAAAGAAUUUGAGUUUCAAUAAUCUCAGAUUGGUUCGUUCUCAAACAAUUCUAUAUGAACCAAUUUCAAAGAUUAUCAAAAUUAGGGCUACUGUUCAGAAAGAGGUUCUUAAUGCAGAAACUCUUCAACAAUCUUAUCUUGUUGAGUUUGUUCAACACAACUGCAUCUGUGAAUCUUGUACAAGAGUUCAGCCUGAUCAUGAUGAAUGGAAUUCUGUUGUGCAAUUAAGACAACAUGGAUGUCUUAAACGUAGUUUCUUUCGAUUGGAUCAUGCUAUUUCGAAGCAUCGUGUUGCUGCUUAUGCCGUGAGAAUCAAUAAGAUGAAACACGGUAUUGAUUACUUUUUCUCCCACAGAAUUCAUGUUAACAAGCUUCUUGAUUUUAUCAAGGGACGGGUUCCUGUGAGGAUUUCUGAGAGUAAAGAACUUGUUUCUCAUGAUACAGAUGAUUAUAGAUACACUUUUUCUAUUGAAGUUUGUCCCAUUUGUCGCCAUGAUUUGAUUCUUCUGCCUCCUAAAGUUGCGUCGAGUGUGGGAAAUAUCGGUCCUAUUGUUGUUUGUACUAAGGUUAGUAAUGUUAUUACUUUGCUUGAUCCGUUUACCUCGACGCAGUGUUGCUUAGAUGGUGAUAUGUAUUGGAGGGCACCCUUCAAGUCUUUGCUCACAAAGGAAGAGUUUGUGGAAUAUAUUGUGCUUGAUGUUAAGGAGGUUUUGUCAAAGGUUAAUGUUGAUGGUAAGAAAUUCAAUUUAGCUAACAUUGAGAUUGCUCGAGUGAAUGAGUUGGGAAAGAAUGAUACGAGAUUUAGUAUCAAGACUCAUCUGGGUUAUCUUUUGAAAACGGGUGAUUAUGCUCUUGGUUAUGACUUGUGGGAGGCUAAUUGUAGUGAUAGUGAGAUUGAAUUGAAGGAGCACAUAGAAGAUGGUGUGAUGUUAAUCAAGAAGAGAUAUGGAGUGACAUGCCUGAUGAAGAGACGUGCAGAGCAUCUGUUGCACUUAAAAGAUUUAGAAGAAAUCACUAAUGAGGUGCUUGGCAUAUCACUAGGUGCUGAAGAGCCCCCUUUGGAGAAGAGGAUGGGUGAUCUUAAUCUAAGUGGUGAUGAACAUAAGGAGAAGAAGGCAAGGAGGAUGGCAUGAUCGGGUAAACAAAAGUAAUUUCUAGGUCGAAUGUAAUAUUUCACAUUAUGCUUCUCUAAGUUGGUUUAACUAGUCAUAUUUCUUUUGAUUAACUCUCUUAUUACAAAAGUCUUAUUUUGAUUGUUUCCAACUAGUUCUCUGUUUUUUAAACCUCUGUUCUAUAUGAGCCAAAUCAGCGUUGAUUGUUACCAAGAAAAGUCCCAUUUUGAAUGGUGUUAUGUUAUGUCACUUCAUUGCGAGUAUUUGAUGAGAUACUGACUUGAUAUACAAACUUCUCGUAUUAUGAGUUUGUGCAUGUCUAUUAUAAACAUGCCCAAAUUUAUUUUUUAGAACUUUGAAGUUUGAAAUGCUUAAUUUCCAAGUUAGGUGUUUGUGUUAUGUAUGUGAGAACUUUGAAAAUAUUCAUAUGUUCAUCCAAAGGUUUCUAUGCUUAAUGGCACUAGUUAAUGUAGCCACAAAAAGCCAACCAAUAGAAAAAGUGUUAAAUUGUGAGCCAUCUCCACGAGUUGGAAAUUUUGGUCGCCGGGCACUGUCCAUAAUAGGUAUUCAACAAGUGGUAACGAAUCCAACGAAGCCUUCUUGUAUUCGUACUAGUGAAGCUACUGUUUCUCCUAGUCUUGCUCGCUUAUCUUGGUCUGAUAUGAAUAGUGGAAGGUCUCACUUUUAUUUGAUUUAAUUAUUAACUUUUGCAAUGUUUUUGGUAAAAUUUGUCUCUUUGCAUCAAUUUAUAUCAUGAGUUAUAGCUGCCAUGUUAUUUGCUUUAUGUUUACUAUUGCACGCUGCUCUGGUAGGACACUUGCCUUUAACCUUCAGAGCUCUUCCAUUCACUCCUCAUCGCACAAGUUAUCUAGCUGCUAGCGAGAAUGAAUGCAUCAGGCAUGCAAUGUUUGUGAAUACUAUUGUUACUUUAGUGGAUAGUGUUAUUAAUCUGGAUAAAAAUUCUCUCACUGCAGCCUCUAUCUCAUAUACUCUUGUGUUCUUAUUGCAGGAAAAAUGUUGCAGUUUUCUUCAUCAUUGUUUCUACAAACUCUUUUGGUUCGCUUUUUCCUGUAUUUUCUCCAAUCUCUGAAUAGAAUGUUAAUGUGUUAUUCACCAAGGUUUCAUCAAUACUCUCCUGCAAUUUUCUGAUCAAUCUGGAUACCAAAAAAUACAGGAAAAAGCAGUGAUCAAUAAAGGGUUGUCAAAAAGGAGGGAUUUUGGUUGAGAUGAAACAGUGGUUUGGUGAUUUGACACAUAAUAUUGCUUGCAAAAUGGUGGGAGGGAAGUUAUAUUAAGUAGAUGGCGAAGGUGAAGCUAGGAAGUAUAAGGAAGCAAUGAGAGAUUGGAUGUGUUUGUUUGUCUGAUGCCAUCCCUUUUCUGCAAUAAAUAUUAAGCAUUUUGUGCAUAGAUGAUUCAGCAAGUGGAAAUGGUGCCAGAGAUGGCUAAGCAUUUAUUCUUUUUGGGUUCGUACCCUACUAAAUGCAAAAAAAAAAAAAAAAAAAGUUUUUUUUCUUCUGUAUUUUUUGACACGUGACACCAUUAACUAUUUAAUAAAUUUUAUUUAAUUUAAGACCUAUCCUGGUAACAUAAAUUUUGAUAUGUAUUUUCAGCAAGUGGAAAUGGUGCCAGAGAUGGCUAAGCAUUUAUUCUUUUUGGGUUCGUACCCUACUAAAUGCAAAAAAAAAAAAAAAAAAG
rnacentral:lncRNA from 1 species